rnacentral:lncRNA from 1 species
GACUAGUAAACUAACAUGACAAUGGUUUUAUUAUAAUAUAAAAUCGUAUCAUAAUUUUAUUAUAAUAUUAAUAAAUUGAUAAUAUCGCAUGACGGUGUCCAACUCGACAUAUUUUUUCAAAAAGUGAGGUGAAUGGAGAAACUAUGAUUUAAUGUUGGAAAAUAAUAUCUCGUGAAAGUUGUAAUUCAUUCACUCCCAAGGGAUUUAAAAGGAUAUAUUAAUCCUUCAUGAAGAAGGAAGAAGAAAAAAAUCAAAAUACCACGGCUGCGUGGCACUCGUUGAUCCAUGAUGCAUUAUGCACUGUUAUACAACACGUGCUUGUUGGAAGUCUCCAAGAGGCUUCCCUUGGUGUUUAGUUUUUUUUUUUUUUUUUUUUUUUUUUGGUGUGCUUCCUUUGGUUUUUAGUUUUGACAGAUAAACUUUAGUGUUUUUUGGGAUACUUUACUGGUCAACUUCUGAAGGAAUAUUAUGAAUCUUUGAUGUUUCAUCAACGGGCCGGUUUUGAGAUUUUGAGAACUUGUACGAAACUUAAAUAAUAAAAAUAUAAAAUAUAAAUCUUUAUCCUUAAUUACACGAUUUAUGCAAAAAUAAGAUAUGUACAAUCCCCGGAUAUCGUGGCCGUCAUAAUUAGUUACUAACAUACUAGUUCCUAUAUCAAGAGUUUUAAUUUGGUGGUUUGCUUGAGAAUGAGGCUAUACAUAGGAAAUUACCUAAAAAAUCGGGGGACCUUCAUUAUGUUGUAUAUCUGCCCAACAAAAAUACAUAAUAUCUUGGAAAAGUAGAAUUACAAUCUACCUAUAUAUUGAUUACUAUGAUUAUGCUAUGUAUUUGCCUAUAUAUUCAUAGCAUUGAUCAUACAUUUAUAUUCUUCUGAGAAAUCUUGAUCAUAUAUAUCCUCGCUUAUAUUGUUGUGUCCUUUAAAAUAAAUAAAAAAAGAUGACAGCAUUUGGUAUUCAAGUAUAUGUACUUGUCAUGAGUUUGAUACUUAAUUGUGACUUGUCCCAAUGCGUUACGUAAAUAUUAGCUUUGUUAUGUAUGAAUGCAUUAGCCCGUGGUAAAGUAUAUCUUUAAAUAUUCUAUAUUUUGGAAAAAAACAAAAACAAAAGAACAAACAAAUAGCAAAAGAUGCUACGCUUUUAAUUUUGGAAGGAAAGCUUUGCACGAAAGUUUUCCUAGCUACUGUGUACUAAUGUGCUCUCUAUGACUACAUAUACUGCUAACUCCAGGCACCUAUAUAUUGCUUACAACACCCAAUGCUUACAUGACAGGAGUCAUUGGACGAAGAGGAGCUGAAGCAGGGUGGCCUAAGCAACUCUGCGGGUGCUCAUGGAUAUUUUUAGAAACAUCAUAAAAUGAAGUUGAACCAAACUCCACCAUAUUGUUCUUACCUGCAUUUUUCAAAUUGGGUAGACUUCGAAUUCGAUACCUUUCAAAUAUACUCAUCUUCAAAUGUGACUGAGGCACCGAAUUAUAACCUGAUAUCACAUCCAUUGCUUUCUUCUCCACAUCCUGGUGAUUCUCAUUCACCUUGUUCUCAUCACAUUCAUCAUCGUCAUCCUCCUCAACCUCGCCAACAUCCUCAUCGACGGUUUGGAGGUCUUCGUCCAUUUCAAGCUCUUCUUCAUUUUCUUCAUCACAACAUGUUAGGGCACUGUCAAAACAUGCUAAGGCAUUGUCCAGAGGUACAAGGUUCAAAAUAAGGCGACCGUCCUCCCGGCGGGCUUCGAAGUACUCAUGGUGCUUCACUCUCUCUCCUUUAAGGACAAGCCUUCCAUUAGAGUGAUCAUAAUGCUUGGUAAAAAUCCAGGGCAUACGACCUUGCAAGUUCCCAGUCUGUGCAAGCAAUGGUAUUGGUGGUGGAUAUUCUCUCUUGAUCUUUUCACUCCUUCGAGUAGUAGUACUCCGGGUGCUCUUAGCUUCAUUCCUACGACUCAUGCUAAAUUCUACUGUAUUUUUCAAAAAUCCUAAUUUCUCUUGUUCCUUGGUUAGCAUGAUUGGGACGCCGCUGUCCGUACCAAUCAGGUCGUCCAUUGCAGAGGACGACCAAGAUAAAGAGCUAUCCAACAUACAAGAAGAAGUGAGUGAAGACGAUCCGGAUGAUGAUGAUGAUGAUGGUGCUGGUGAAACCUUAUGGUUGUGAAUAAUGUGGGGGUGGUGAUGAUCUAAAAUUUGAGGGUUUCUAGCUGCUUCCGAAAAAUUUAGGGUUUUGAGCCCUAGUUCAAGAUGAUGAUGGGUUGGGAAUGCUUUUACCAUUUGCAUUGCAAAUGGUAACCUGGUUGCCCACAGGAAAAUCCCAAAAAGGGAGGAAAUUAUGGAUUUAGCUCUACCAAAAUAGCUUGGAUCACUACUCAAAGAAUCCAUGGUUCCACAGUCAAGAUAACAAAAGGGGCUAGCUAGUUUAAUGGCCAGCUUAUGUAGGAUACUUGUGGUUUUCUAGAAAUUAACCUACCAACCCUUUUGAAAAAAAAAAAAAACCUACCUACCCAGUCAUUAACCUGCAAGUAAUUAAAGAAGAAGAUAUCAGAAUAAUGUGGCUAUAAUAACAAAUCGGGUAUUUUAAUUAUAAAUUUAAUUAUUAUAUAUGAAGUUUUAUCCAAUUGGAUAAGAACAAACUCUUUUGGUGGAAUCAAUUGCUUUUACCUCUUAACUGCAUUUUGUCUGCUUUCAUCAAACGUUUCUCUCUCUACUGGUUGGAUUUUUCUCUUCCUGUUAAUCUUAAGAAGAUUAAUUAAGAAAUAUAACUUUAUAUAUAUAUAUAUAUAUAGAAAAAUAAUAAUUCAUUUUGAAUGCAAGAGGCUGGAUGAGGAAUUCUAAUAUUAUUUGCAUAAACAAAAACUUUAAUAGAAUAAAAAUACAGUCCAAGUCCAUGGAGGAAACAAAAUCACAUCAUCUCGUGCAGAUUUUGUAAGGGCGUAAAUAAAUAAAUGGAGAUUAUGAAGAUUCAAUUGCCAAAAAUAUAUGCCGUUUACUAUGUAUGCAACAAUAGACCAUAAAUCAAAUUAUUAUUCAUUUCUAUAAAUUAAGCCAAUAAUUUAGGACAAUUAAGUUAAAGAAAAAAGAAAGAAACAACUGUGUCUGGUGAUGAAUGCACAAUCCUUAGAAACAAUAACAGAUUAACCUAUAAGGUAUCAGUCUGAAAAUUUGGCUUCAAGUGGAUCAAGACUAGUUCAAAUACAACUAUUUUCCCUUCCCUCGUACCGUCGAGAUUUCAAAUAUACAUUAUAUAUUAACAAAAACAAAACAGAUCAAGUCGAACAAAUAUAUAUCUAGCCUAUAGAAAGCAAAAACAUUUGGCAUAGAUCGAUAUAUAAAACACAAUUAAGAGAUUCAAAUUAGUGAAAUUAACAAGCUAAUCAAAACACAAAUUCAAAUGCAGAUUACAUGAAAUAUAUAUAUAUAUAUAUAUAUGAGAGAGAGAAAGCAUAAUAAUUUUGUACUUACUUUAUCAAUGGCACUGGUGCAUUAUAUUUAGUACAUUUUCCCUGUGGCAGAGAAAGAGAGAAGAAACAGUGGACAGAGAGACCAAAUGAGAAGAGAGAGAGCAACCAUUUCUCGAGUGUUUUUGCUAAACCCUUUAUAUAUAGGAAAAACCUUAACUGAGCUGGAUUACCUUAAUUGCACAGAGAGGACCCUCCUGGCACCGUGACUCACACAAGCAAUAUUAAAGGUCGCAAACGUCAUUUCACACUCACCAAGAAACGGCUGCAUUUUUUGCGGGAUCGGCGAGGGGCUUGGCUCGUCUGGAACCGGCAUGGCCUGCGAUUGCUGUAACCGGCACCAGAAGUGGCGCGUUUUGAGUCUGAUCCCAGUGUCGUGUAGAAUGUGAUUGGUGGGGGCUUGGUGAGAGCAGGGAGGGGGUUGCACAAGUGAUCAUGGAGUGGGGCAUGGAUGAACUGAAUUUGUCUGGUUUGGUAUUCUCUGGCUUCCAUUUUUGAUGCCAGGUCUGCUCCUUUCUUGUUCAGCAGCCAGCUUAUUAGACACGUAGAGAGAGAGAGAGAGAGAGAGAGAGAGAGAGAGAGAGAGAGAGAGAGAGAGAGAGAGGCCUUGUCUGGUGUUGUAUCUCUGGCUUCCAUGAAUUCAUGUAAGUUGUAACUCUCGAGUGCAAUGCUUGCGCAUGUGUGACAUAUAAAUUGUAUCUCUGGUUCAUUCUACAAUGUCAUCUCAUUUCAUGAUAAGAACCGUUACCCUUCUAAGUCAACACUCCCUUAACAAUAAGCAUUACAAGAAAUUAGUCAAAUUAGACAACAUUGAGUUGUCUAAUUGUGAUAGAAUGAAAAGAUGAAUACGAUAUUUUUUAUGUACAAUGAAAAUAUUCACUAUAAUGAUCAAAUUGUUAAGCAGUUUUCAUUUGGCUUAUUUUUGAAGAGAUGUUCCAAACAAGUAGUUAAUGCCGAAUGCCACAAUUUUCACACCUUUUUUUUUAAGUGAAACACUGUAAUUGUUCGAGUGUUAUAUAUCAAUUAUCAUGACCAACUGAUAAUUAUUGGUUACAUAAUGUGGUUUUAAAAUACAAUUCAUUCUGCAAAGGACUCACUAGUGCAGUAGUUUGAAGCAUUUAUUCUCGUUUGAAAGGUCAUGGGCUCCAGUUCUAGCAUCCGUGUGUGAGUUCAGUAUGUUAUCACACCUCUCAAUUAAAAAAGUCCUUAAAAAAAAAGAUAUUUAGUCAUAUACCAAUUCUUAGCAUUAAUGAUAUAGAUCAACCCUACACCAUAUAAUUUCUAUAGACAAACAAAAAAUAAAACCUAAAAAUUGACAGCUGACUCUAUUGAAUUUAAUUUUGAUUAUUAAAUUACUUUCAUGCCCUAUUUAGUGUUUUGAGUUUUUUUAUAUAUGAGGUUUUGGGAUUAUGCUUGUUUUAAGAAAUCGAUGACAGUUUUGUAAUUUAGAAGAAGUUAGAAGCCUUUGAGUGUGUUUUUAAAGUCCAUUUCAUAUAGGUUUUUAUUAUUAUAAUUUGGACUCCUAUAUUGGGUAUAAUAGUGAAUCUCCCUUAAAAAAAAAGUUCAUUUAACUAUACUCAUAUCUCUAAAAAAAGAAAGAAAGCAUUACUCAUUAAUUCUAAUCCUAAUCCCCUUCCAUUUUUGGGGCUAAUCCUAACCCCAUCCCUGUUACCUGAUUACCUGAUCACCCGGAUGAAAAAGAAAAUCGCCAUAUGCACAUCAAAUUCUUUGGCUUGCACACCAUCGUUUAGCACGGGGCAAAAGAGAUCUCUCCCUUUUCAUGCCCCCCAUUUUGCAAACGUUCCUCCUGCAAAGAAAGUAAACUCUCAACCGAGACCAAGUCUUGCAUCCUGCUUUUGGUUUUCUUGUCUUUUCAUAUUCUAGUGUUCUUAAGUUUCAAAUUAAGACAAAAAAGAAGAAGAAGAAGUUAAUACAAGCGAAAGAAAUCCACUAGAAAAAAGGAAAGCCCCAAAUACGUACAAAAUCAUAUGAGUCUCUUACAUAGAAACCCUACAAAAGAAGAUUGUGUAAAUUGCAAAGGCAAUAUACCUGUAUAGUAGGGGGUUUGCAAGGAAGAAUUUAGGGCUCUUCUUUUGCAUUUGAUGGCUGAAUGAAUUUUUUUUCAUCAAUUAAAGUUUCUUUCUCUCUUUUUCGCAUCAAGUAGUUGAGCAAAUUAGGUCAGAGCAAAAUGGGGAUCUUCUUUCACAUCGAGUAGUUGAGAAAAUAAGGUCAAAGCCAAAUGGGAAUCGAUUUUAAAUCUCAUUCAUUGCGUCCACCAAGUGGCACAUGCCUCACACGUGUAAGUAAUGUACACAAAAGGAUUUCGUGUACUACAUACUCAUUAUCAUCGAGGGUAUUCCGGUCACUGAAUUUCCAAUCGCUAGCAAAUUUCAAAAUAAUAUUAUAUCGCGAUAGGCUGAUAUUUCCUAUUAUUUUUAAAUUUGAAAAACAAUUAAAAAUAGCAAGGCCAACUAUCUCUAGUUGCGACAAUACUUGAGCGCAGCCAUCACACCGUUACAUAUCCCUUAUCCCACGUGUUAAUAUAGAUGGGUGACAUGAUUGAUACUUUCUCAAUCUAGCAUAUAUUAUUAAUGAGCAUAUUGUAUCAUGAGUGGACUGUAACAUCACGUGACGGUAUAGCAAUGCCGCCAAAAAAUUACUCAAUUAAACAUGACGCCACACACCAAUUGCCAAAUUUGGAACUAAAACAACAACCAAAUUCUCCGAGCUGAAUUUGUAGAGAAACAAAAAUGACGUAUGUACAUGAGAGACGUGUUUACUAAUAAUCAUUUAUAAGUGAGGCUAUUCUGUUCAAUGGAUUACAAAUCUCAAUCUUUAUUUUUCUUUGUUUAUUUUUUGCAAGAAAAAUCUCUAUUAAAUUUCAGACUACGUAUCCAUUGUAAUUUCUGUCGGCGUCGGCAUGUCUUCAUUGAAAUUGUAUGGGUAAUUUGGUCUUCAUUGCAACAUUGAAUUGAAUAUCAAAUACAAAUAAAAGUUUACUACUCUAGUUCUUGCUAUCUACUAGCUGCUGCUACUUCCUCCGCCACGGAUCGAUGCGCAUGCUGCUGCGCUAGUCUAGGAACUGGCGUCGGCCACCACGGGAGCACAACUGUGUAAUAGUAACGAUGUGUUGCCCAGUGUUCAAAUAACUUUGACCACUCUCCUGUGCGAAUGUUCCACUUGAUAAUAUCUCUCCGCACAUGCAGAUAAAAAAUAUCCUUACUAUUUGGAUCAAAAGCAAUCAUUACGCAAUACGCGUUGAUCGGAAUCAUUUCAGGAUCGAAGGAAUAAACCCCGCGUUUACUCAAACACAAAUUUUUGCCAGCAGCAGCUCCAUCUUGUGUUUGUUUCAACUCAUAUACAUACAGACUUCGGGUCGUCCUGUUCAUGUUGCACAUUAGCACAUAUCCUCCGCAGACACCUAAGUACUGAACACUAAAACCUAAGUCUAGAGUCUCCUCAAAUACGGUGAAACGCAGUUUAUGAUCAAUCAUACAAUCACCAUUAUUACUGCUGCUGCUACUAGUUCCAUCAUUGUCAUAGAAUGGACCCAAACCAAUAACACUAAGGCCGCGGUCUGUUGGCCAAUAUAACAUUCCAUUGUAUGCAAAGGAGAACACAUUGAGGUCACCAAAAUUGAAAUGUCGAGGGGACGAGACGACUGAUUCUCUCCACUCACCAGUGUCAGAGGAGAAGAUCUCCACGUCUAAUUUGAACAUAUAUCACCUUUCUUCUCAUCAUUUGCAUAUUCAACAGGAGGAAGAAUUCUCACAACCGUGAACCUACACUCAACAUUAAGAUGGAUGUUGUUUCCUUUCCAAUCAUCUUCCUCAAAUUUAUAGUCAGGAACAACAUUGCAGAUGAUUCCUACCCGCACACUCUUGUGACAUUGACUUGGGGUGGGAGGAAGUUCAGCAUAUUGCAUGGUGUAUGCAUUGCAAAUGUAGUAAUCGCGUUGAUAAUCCUCGGUUAUGCAAAACAAAACUAAGUCAUUAUAUAUCGCUACAACAACUGGCUUUUCCAUCAAACGGUGGACACCCGGGAAUCCUUUGAGCACCGGAGUUAGUAGAUUAAUGGGUGGGGACGACAAUAAAAGAGGGAAUUCCAAUGCACUUUUGGUUAUCAAAGUGCAUAUCUUUGGAGUUCUCUUAUAACUUUUGAUACUCACAAAGCGGCCAAUAAAAUAAGGAUCUGCGAUGAGGGUGCACCAACGCUUGGACACAGACUUGCAUUGAAAAACAAAUUUGUUGCUUGAAAAAAACAAAUCAAUAAAUCCUUGACACACGGUAGAAGCAAUUCGGAAUCCUUAGUAAUUUAGGUUUCUUGUCCUACUAUCUAUAUGAUUUACAUUAUAAUUUUUGUGAUAAAACAAAAACCCAAAUUUAGGGUUCUAUCUGCCAGAGAGAAUGAAGUUCACCGUUCUAUCUGCGAUUCCUCUAUAUGCCCAUGCUGCAUCCCCUUCUUUGUCAGCACCAAAUAAUUUUAGUUAUAUUUUUUUUUAACCUUCUUUGAUUCUUUAAGCCUAUGCAUUUACAGUUUACGUAUUUAUCCGCAGUUGGCAAAAUCUUGACCAUUCUAAUAAUGUAACCGUUUAAAGAGAUAACAUAUUAACAACAUAAAUAUUUAAUUUUCCUUUUCAUCAUAAAAUUAUUUAAAUUUAACAAUUAUUUAAUUGUUUAAACAAAAAAAACAUAAAUAAAUAUAAAAAAUCCACUCCGCCCUUUCCAGGGAAGGUGAGGGGGAGGAAUAUAGGUUUUUUGAAAGGUGAGGGGUAGUUAAGGGGGCCCUGUAAGGAAUAUAGAGAGAGAUUAUCAAAAGGGGAAGGGGGUUGCGAGCAAUACAGAGAGAGAGAUGGUGAAUGGUAUGUGUAGCGGCUUGGGUGGUGUUGUGUUGGGGUGUGUGUGGAGAGAGAUGGUGGUGUUAUGUCUGCUUGGGUGUGUUAGGGGAUAAGAGUGGGGAGGGAAAGUUGCAUCUCUGGUUUUUUAAUUUUUAGUUUAUGUGAUUUUAUCUUAUUUUUUUAGUUUUAAAUUAAAAUUUUAAAUAUUUAAAGUUAUUAUAUUUUUUUAAUUAAUUUUUUAAGAUUUGAUGAUGUGUCUUGUUUUAAACAGUUAGAUUAUUAGGAUGGUCAAGAUUUUGCGAAAUGCGAGUAAAUGCGUAAACUCCAAUUGUAGAGGCUCAAUUCCCCACCUAGAAUGUAAUUUCUCGGUGGCACAGAAAUGUUAGCCCAGAUAUAACAACUUUAUUGCAACAACUUGUAUCAAUGUUUUGAGACAUUUAGUCAAAAACAAAUGUCUCGAGACAUUUCAGAUAUAGCUAAAACAAAACAAUGGAAAAUAAUAAAGGCAACAACCUAGUAGCAAAUUACACAAAGCUCUAAUUGGACUUCAUUAACUUCAUUAAUAUGGACAACCCAACCCAAUUACUAUAAGCAGCUGAUAAUUAGCGAGCUUGAGCAGGGUCAAACUUUAUGGUCCAAAGUCCUAACUUCUGACGUUUGAGCUGAGCAAGUCCCCUGACUCUGAGCAUUUCUUGGAUGUACUUUCUUCUUCAAGUACAUCCAGAAGAAACAACUAGUACUUGGGCGAACCGUUUCACCCUUAGCUGUGCCCAACUUGCCUCUUUCUGCUUCUUCUUCCAUCUUCAUUUUCUUCUUGUGGAGGCAUCUCAGCACAUGUGCUUCAGCAAGACUAUAACCAGCAGUGGACAUGGCCUAUUUUUAUUUUAUUGUUGGUUUAAAAAAAAAUAAGCAAGUGAUUUUUUUUGGUGUUCAAUUUUAAAGAAGAAAUGAGGUAUUGUAAUUGAUGGGGCAUUGAGAGGGCGAUGAGUAGUUUCUUAUAACAUUUGUGCUGGCUUGGGAAGCAAGCAUGCAUACUUGCAGCGCACACAAAGAUGAUGUGGCAAUGUUGACAAAAAAAAGCUUCACUUUUUAGUUGAAUGUUGACUGCUAGAUUGGGUGCAGGUGGCUGACGCUUCUGGGUGGAAGGUUUCGUCUAUGUGUAUGCUUGCUUGGUUACCAAGGAAAAAAAGGAAAGUAAGAUUCUCUUUUCAUGUUUGACAAUGAAGUCAACUAUAGUUACAUACACUUUAUCAGACUACAUAUACUUUUUUUUUUUGUGAAGAUCAUCUCAGUUGAAAUAUCAGUAUUGUGUUCCAAUGCACUGGAAGUUAUAGAAUUUGUAAGUUUUGUAAAUCUAGAGAGAGAGAGAGAGAGAGAGCAGGAAACUAUAACAAGAAAGAAAUUAGAUGGUAUGAACAACGCAAUACAAAUAAUCAACAGAUAAAAGUUAGUACUUUAAUUCUUGCUAUCAACUAGCUGAGCUAGUCUAGGAACUGGCGUCGGCCACCAUGGGAGCACAACCUUGUAAUAGUAACGAUGUGCUUCACAGUUUUUAACUAUAUUUGACCACUUUCCUGUGCGAAUGUUGCACUUGAUAAUAUCUGCAUACACACGCAGAUACAAAAUAUCCUCAUUGUUUGGGUCAAAAGCAUGCAGUACACAACACGAUUGACGGUUCCCAAACAUUUCAGGGUCCAAGGAAUAAAUCCAGCGUUUACUCAAACAAAACUUUUUGCCAGCAGCUGCAUCUUGUGAUUCUUUCAACUCAUACACAUAGAGACUUCCGGUCGUCAUGCACAAGUUGCACAUUCGCAUGUAUCCGCCACACACACCUAAGUACUGAACACUAAAACCUAGUCUAGAGGCUCCUCAAAUAUAGUAAAACCUAGAGACAAUUGGGUUCUCUUCCUUACUUUGGUAGCAGUAUGGCAUCCCAUCCACCUGCGCCAUGAAAUAUAUCAUACACAUACUGUAUGGCCUCUAAGAAAAAUGUUUCGUGGAAUCGACAUAUGGUUCGUUAACUAAAACGUAGGAAUUUGGACAGACAACCUCUCAAUCAAUAAACUACAUAUAUAUAUAUAUAUAUAUAUAUCAUAUAUGUUAUGGCAAGCUAAUAUGGUUUGUGGUUGAUCACAGUGAAACUCUAAGUUGUAUGGAAAAACUAAGACUUAGGAACCUAACUAGUAAUGGUGCCCGCACGAUGCUGCGGGUUUUAAAACCGUGUGAAAUGUAUACAUAGUUGUGAAAAUAUGUAGGCAAGAUGGUACUAUUUAUAUAGACAUGGAGAUCUAAAUAGUGGCAUCUUUGUUUUGCAAGUCUAAUACUCCUAAAGAAAAAAUUAGCCAAACUACAUUAGCUAAAAAGAAUCUUAAUCAAUUCCAAAUAAUAGAGGUAGCGUUCAAACUUAGAAAGAGAGAAGGAUUAAAAUUCGGAAUUAGAAUUCAGAUAAUGGAGGUAGUCUUUAAACUUUGAACAUCUCUAACAUGACAUCACCAAAUCAAUAAAUAUUACACAAAAUCAGUAUAAAAACACAUGAAGACAAAAAAUUAAUAAAAAAGCAAAUAUUAACAACAGAUCAUUACACAAUGUAGGGUGACCCUAACAACAAUUGAGGAAUUGAUUGCUUUUGAUAGAGACCAAAGCAAGUGUUUCUAAAACAGAGAAUAAGAGCAUAAAAGUUUUUGAAUGUUGGAUGCCCAUUUUUACUUUUUCUUCCUCUUCCUCUGUUUCCCGAGAAAGCAAAUAAACAGAAUCAGCCAAAUAUCACCACAAAUCAAAUGUAUGGUAGUUAAUUCAAUGCCAAAGUAAGAAGUGCCAAAGAAUCAUUGAGCAUACAAAAAACAAAAAUAUGAGUCACCACUUGUAGAAGAUUAGCCCUUUGCUGGCAGCUCCUUUCACUUACAAACUCCUUGGUGUUCCAGUGCCACAACAACUUCAGUAUUUGAAGCACAAUCCAAGCUCUUCAGUGCUCGAUGCACAAUCCAAGCCCUGCAAGCUACAUUGGUAUUUGUUAUGGGUUGCCAUAAAAGGAAAUUUUCAUUCUUAAAAGUCCGUAUGUACGAAUCUAUAAAUGUUGCAAAACUUCCACAAAUAUCAAAUCAAACCACAGCUUAGUAGCGGCAUGUAUGUACCAAAUUGUGGCACAUCCCAUUUCAGCUCAUAAAUCGUCAAAUAAGAAAUCUAAAAUAUGCAUACUACAGGACACAUUCAUAUAAUAUAAAUUGAAAGGAUGAACCAAUAUUUUGCAAAAGCACAAAACCUUAUUAACAUCCCAACAAACCUAGAGGAUAAAAACAGAUAAUCAAAUCAAUCAUGAAAUAGAGAAUAAUAGACAGAAUAUGCACAUAUAAGGAAGACAUGCAACAAUUAAGACCACUCGCGCCACCCAUUUCUCUGUAAUUGAUCUUUCACUUUUUUAUUGUCAAUCUAACAUACUUUUAAAUCUUUACCAAUCAAAUUUUACAAUAAUUUGGGUUCCUGUAACCUACCUACGAUUUUGAUAGUUUACCUUUGCUACUUGCCUACUCCAAUUAUCGGAAGAAAACUGUACCAAAAAUUGUGUCAUUUUCAUUGGAAAAUUCAAAAUUAAAUGUUGAGUUUAAAGAGAUAAUGUUUUUAUAAAAAAAUUCAUUCUAAAACUGGUGGAGUAAAGUACUCGCAGAAUAUGUAACUCUUGCUGUUUGUUGAAAAGACAGAUUCAUCUUCUAUUCCUAUAAUAUAUUUGUACAUUGCACAAAACGUACUAUAAAAAAAAUGUUUUGGACAGAGACAUGAGAGUAAAUAUUUAAAAAAAAGAGGAAAGACUUAUCACCCGGAAAAUUGGAACCCCAAUACAAAAGAAAGGUUUGCAAUUUUGCAGACACAUUUGAGAGCCCAAAAUUCAUCGAAAUGAGACACUAAAACCAAGAGGAGCCUUUAUUCAGCAAAGAGGAGGCUUCAAUUUUGAAGGGAAAAAAAGAAAAGAAAACAUACGUCUCCAAUUCAACCGGACAUUUCGAGGGGAUGCCUAUGGCGCAGCCUCCUUCACAUCUGCCACCAAAGCCAAACAUCAAAUGCAAAAUGCGAUUCAAAUGAUUGAAACAAAAUUAGAAAAGCGAAAUAAAAGUGAUAAAAGAGUGACGCUUUGGGGGUAAAAGGUGAGACCUUUGGCAACAAAUUGGAUUUCGCCAGGAGGAGAGUUGAGGAGGAACCACUUCCCCACUGCAAAACAACAUUUACUACAUUAGACACUGACAAAUAAUCAAAAUGGGUACAAAUUUAUUAAUUAGAAAAAAGUAAAGUAUAAAUGGCAGAGAGAACAAACCUCAUUAAUGGCAAGCACUUAGCCAUUGCUCUUCUUGACCUUCUUCAGCUUCCUCAGGAAAUACCUAAUCCAAACAAAUCAACCAACACAAUUAAGUUUAACCCAAAAUUCACCAAUGAACAUUUGGAUCAUAAAAGCCAAGCUAAUGCUAAGGAUUAUACCAGAACUUGGACUUGGGCGAACCUCAUUGGUGGCCCAAAGCUUCAUUCGGUAAGUCUUGGGGUGCUCAUCAGAUGCUGUAGGGAGCUUCCUCCCAACAACCUGGUACUGGUGGAACUGCAAUACAAAAACGACACCAUUAAUUGCAGCUUUACCAUUUGACAUGCCCUAAGAAAAAUAUAUCACACAAACAAAUACCAAAUUAAAUGGAACCUAAGAAACUAUGAAGAUAAUUUUCUAGAUAUUUGUUUACCAAAUUUCAUACAACAAACCUCCACUUAAACUGACUGUUUACAACAAUGCUAAGAAUUUGGCUAAUCCAUUUCACCAGUAGCCUUAUGUUUAACUAAAUAAACUAUGUAUAAAACCAAAUGGGUAUUCUUCAAGAAUAAAACCAACCUUCUUGAAGCAUACCCAUCUAAGUUAUAAUAUGCAGAGGAAAAGAAAAUUAAAAAACCCCCCAAGCAUCCUAGUUUAAAAAAUGCAUAAUUUAGAAUUCUGUAACAGAAAUUGUCCCAUUAAAUUAAACUGAAAUAUAAAAAAAACAGUGAAUUUAAGGCUGAGAUGUAAUCGAGUUAUUGAAAGAAAAAAAACAGAGGAUGAGAGAACGAUUGACAAACCUCUUUGCUAGUCCAAAUGCGGAACCCUACUUCGCUUCUUCUUGUAGCACCUUCAAAGUCAGUCAACAUUCUGUGUUGUUCUACAAAAGAUAUUUAUGAACACAGAACAUCAUAAAAUACCUUUAUUGUAAAUUUCUUCAACACAAAAAGUCCAGAACCAAAAUAUUUGACGAAAUUCUAUUAAAGGAAAAAAAACUGAAAUUAAAGAGAGGGAGAGAGAACAAUGUAUACCACAACUUCUGUACAUAUACAUUGGCUCUGUCCCACAACAGCGGCAAUGGCAAUGGCAAGCCUUUAUUCACGCACAAAUAGUCACCUCCCAUUACCAAUUCAAAAGCCUGUUCAAUCCCAUCAUUGGGAAGUAAUACAAUCAAAAUUAAUAAAAGGGAAAGAAAUUAAAAUACAGCGGAGGCAAUUAAACGAUGCAAACCUUUUUUCUAUUUCAAAGUCACAAUUAGAUGUAAUUGCACCAUUUUGUUGUUGUAGUCCUGCAAUGCACACAGUCAUCAACUUCACCCAAGCAACUCCGCGUGUCAAUUCAAAUCCACCAUGAACCAAUCCAUAAGCUCAAACAUAUAACCCAAUCAGAUGAUAAACCAUCACAGAAAAGGCCUAAUUUUGGUCCAAAAGAGCAAUUCAAGGAUAUGGUUCUUACCUGAAAUACUUUGGUGAAGUUGCAAAAUCACCUUUGUCCUCGUGCCCAAACCCUUCAACAACAAAAAAACAAUGAAAGAAAAUUUUCAUUGUAAUUCCAAGCACAUGCAAGAAAGAACAAAGGCACCAAAUUUUCAAUCCAACAUAAUUAUAGAACAAAGACUCAAACUUUUGCUUUCAAUAAAAAGUACUAAUGUUAUUAAGUGGGUGACCUCAAACGCCCUUAUAAGCAUAAUUAUUGAACUCCUACCCACAAAACAACAGUUUGAUGUUUAAAAAGAUGAAAUUUUCUGUUUUUUUCUUGCAUUUUCUUAGCAAACAAAUAGAGGGUAAGUAGGUUUCUACAUAUUUUAUAGAGUGUUAAAUCAGAUUUUUUGUUUGAAUGAUCUUAUAUCGAACCAACCAUAUUUCCUUUUAGAUACAAACAUAUAUUAAGCUCCUACGGUUCAUUCUCUACAUGUUCAAAUAGAGAGAUACAAAGAGAUCUUGCCUGUUUAAUAAUUUUUUGUUUGAGAUCCUCGGAGAGACCGCCGGUCCCAGACAAUGGAUCAUGCCAUCGUCGGAUGGCUGUCGUUGAAUCUCGGAGGAGGCGUGAUCGGGAGAUCCAACAGGUGAGGCAUCAGAACCGUCCGUCGAAACACUACCUACAAAACAUCAAAAGAAGACGCGAUUAAAAAGAAGAACAGAAAAGGAGACAUAUCUGAAAAAUUGAAGGAAACCCAACGAAAGAGGAAGAAUGCGAUAUGAGACAAACAGGAGAACAAAUGAAAAGAAGGUUAUCUAAUGAAGUAGAGGACCAAAUGAACGAACCAAUUCGCACCAUAGCAGCCACAAAUGAAAUCAACGGCCGCAAGAAAGCCAGAUCAAGCUUCAAUAGUGAAGCUCUCAUGGGAGAAAGAGCCAGCCAAAAGUGGGAAUUUCGGUUCCCACGAAGAGAUGAGAACAGGGCUGGAGGGCAUCGGAGACGGUGGCGGAGAGUCGGUGCUUGUGAUGAUGACGGCGGCGGCGGCAGAGAGAAAGGGAAAGAGACGGAGAGAGAGUUGGAGAAGACGACUAUGAUCUCUGAGGCCUCUCUCUCUCUCUCACUUCUCUUCGAUGAAGCGGCUUUGGUUUUCUCCAAAAAGAAGCGACCAGACAAAAGGGUUAUGUCGCUAUGCAUUAGGGCAAAAAUGCCAUUUUACUGAACAUAAUUAAGAGGGCAACCAAUUAAGCAGGGGCACAAACGUCAUUCCACUAUUGCGAAUGAAUAGUCUAGGAACAGUAAUUUUAUUCAGUUUUAGUAUAUAAUAUAAAUAGUCUAGGAACAGUGAUUUUUUAGUAUAUAUAUAAAUAGUCUAGGAACAGUGAUUUUAUUCAGUUUUAGUAUAUAUAUAAUUUGGGUGAAAGAAAGGCCUAUUCCACCGCAUUGUUUGGUUGAGAAAGAAAAAUGUUUCUCUUGUUUCAUUCAAUUGGAGGAAUAUGAAGGCUUUCAUUGAAUUGAAGGCCAAGCCUUUGAGUAUGAGCGAAGACUAGUGCGAACAACUAUAAACAAAUUAAAUGAUGGCACAAUUGAAAUCUGAGUGAAAGCUUCACCUGCCAGAGAGUAUGUAUUUAUUUUGAAUUUUGAUAAACCUGAGAUAAUUUUUUUUUUUUUUUUUUGUCAAGAUAAACUUAGAGAUAUGGAUUUCAUGGAUCAUGGAUCAUUGCGUGCAAGAGGUUACAGCUUAUGCCGAUGGUGGGGGAGAGGGUUGGAAGGGGUGGUGGUGGUCAUGCGAUAACAAUAAUUAGGUUAGUGUUUUUUUUAUUUUGGUGUGAUAAUUAUGUUAGUUUUAAAAUUUUAAUUUAUAAGUUCUAGCAAAUUGACAGAAAUGCCCUUAUAGUUAACUGAAAGUUCAUGUGGCUCAUAGUAAAAAUUAAAAGUUCUUGUGGUAAUUUCGCACUGACCUAAAAGUUCAUGUGGUAUUUAUGCAAAUUUCCCAUAUACUCGGUUUUUUCUUUAUUUUUUUUUUAAAAAAUAGUAUCGACACUCGGCUAUACUAAGGUGUUUCAAAUUUGUUUAAAAGAAUAGUUUAGCCAACUGGCUAUACUCGGUUUUUCCACACAAAAAAUAAAAAAAAGUAUAGCCGUGCAGUUGUACGCGGAUCUUUUUUUUUUUUUUAAUAAAUAGUGUAGCCGAGCGGCUAUACUCUUUAUAUAUAUUAGGUCAUUACCCAAGUCUCUAUACAACCCAAGUCAGUGAAUCCCACUCGUGACAUCAACUUGGGGUUGGAGGAAGAGCAACCCAUUGCAUGGUGCAUGCAUUGCAGAUGUAGCAAUCACGUUGAUAAUCCUUGCUUGUGCAGCACAAAACUAAGUCAUUAUAUGUCGCUACCGCAACUGACUUACCCAUCAAACCGUGGAAUGUGAAUCUUUUGAGCACCGGAGUAAAACUCGAUUAUAUAUUAGGGUAUUUUUGAAUCCUAUCAAUGUCUUCAGAUUGAUCAAGGGGCUUACCUAACUUUCUCAAAGCAAAGGGCUUAAACAACUUUCUUUAUCAAUUUGCCCCUUCAACAAGAAGAAAUGCUUAUUGCUCUUUGACUCAUAUCAAGCGGCUUAAACGCUAAUUUUUCUGUCGCCAAGUGAUGGUAGGGCUUGUCUGAGGACUUCCUUAUAAGAGAAGUUCUUUUCUCUGCGAGCGACUAGAUUUUCUUUUAGAACAUCUUCGAAAACAGACUGAGAGCUUGUUUAAGCACGAAAAAAAAUUGGUUUACACCCUGGGGAUGUAAACACCCCUUCACGUCGGAUCUCAGACAUUCAAUCAAAGAAAAAGAAGUCUUGAGACAUAGCUAAAACAGAAAAGUGCAAAAUAAUAAAAGCAACAACCUAGUAGCAAAUUACACAAAGCUCUAAUUGGACUUAAUUAAUAUGCACAACCAAUUACUGUAACCAGCUAAAAAUUAGGAUGAGAUUGAGCAGAGCCAAACUUUAUGGUCCAAAGUCACAACUUCUCAAGUUUCAGCUGAACAAAGUCCUUUGACUCUGGUCAUUCUUGCUCUCUUUGAACGCAACUGCAACAUUCAACAGAAAUUUCUUGCUAUCAUAAUAUUUCUGAAAACUAAAGCAUGGUAGAUCAAGCUCAUGAGUCUCAAGAAAUUUCUUGAAAAUUUCUGCUUUAAGUAGUAAAGUGGGCAUAUACAGAACGACAUAAAUUCACAGUCCUCCGUAUAUCGCCAUAACAACAAUAAGAUGGAAAAAAACAGUUGAACACAAAACAGAACAUAUUAGGGUAUUUAUCAGCAAUUAAAAGUGUUAUAUUGCUGAGUAUAUCAAAUACAAAUAAUCCAACUAAACCAAAUAAAAGUUUACUAUAUAAUUCUUGCUAUCUAAAAGCUGCUAGUACCUCCACCAUGGAUGGGCAUGCCGCAUGCUGCUGCUACGCUAGUCUAGGAACUGGCGUCGGCCACAAUGGGAGAACAACUGUGUAAUAGAAACGAUCUGUUUCACAGUCUUUAACUAUCUUUGACCACUCUCCUGUGUGAAUGUUCCACUUGAUAAUAUCGGCGUUCACACGCAGAUACAAAAUAUCCUUAUUAUUUGGGUCAAAAGCAUUCAGUAUGCAACGCGACAGGUCUGGAAACAUUUGACGGUCCAAGGAAUAAACCCUGCGUUCACUCAAACACAGCCUUUUGCCAGCAGCAUCUCCAUCUUGUGACUCUUUCAACUCAUAUACAUACAGACGUCUGGUCAUCAAGCUCAUGUUGCACAUUCGCACAUAUCCUCCGCACACACCUAAGUACUGAACACUAAAACCUCUGUCUAGAGGUUCCUCAAAUAUAGUGAAACCUAGUUUAUGAUCAAUAUUACCAUCACCAUUGCUGCUGCUGCUGCUGCUACUAGUUCCAUCAUUGUCAUAGAAUGGACCCAAACCAAUAACACUAAGUCCGCGGUCUGUUGGCCAAUAUAACAUUCCGUUGUAUGCAAAGGAGAACUCAUUGAGGCCACGAAAAUUGAAGUUGCGUGGGGACGAGACAACUGAUUCUUUCCACUCGCCAGUUUCAGAAGAGAAGAUCUCCACGUUUAAUUUGAAGGUAUCACAUUUUUUCUCAUCAUUUGCAUAUUCAACAGGAGGCAGAAUUCUCACAACCAUGGACCUACACUCAACAUUAAGCUGGCUGUUAUUUCCUUUCCAAUUGUCUUCCUCACAUUUAUAGUCAGGAACAUUGCAGAUGAAUCCCACUCGUACACGCUUGUGACAUCGACUUGGGGUGGGAGGAAGACCAACCCAUUGCAUGGUGUAUGCAUUGCAGAUGUAGUAAUUGCGUUGAUAAUCCAUGCUUGUGCAGCACAAAAGUAAGUCAUUAUAUGUCGCUACCACAACUGGAUUUCCUACGAAACGGUGGAAACAAAUGAUUCUUUCGAGCGACUGUGUUAGUAGAUUAGGUGACAGCGACACUUUAGGAGGGAAUUCCACCACUCUUUUGUUUAUCAAAGUGCGUAUCUUUGGAGUUCUCUUAUAACUUUGGAUAUUUACAAAGCGGCCAAUAAAAUAAGGAUCUGCGAUGAGAGUGCACCAAUGCUUAGACACAGACUUGCAUUGAAAAACAAAUUUAUUGCAUGGAAGUCGGCAAAGGAUUUCAGCCAAUAUAACGUCAGAUAGAUCAUCAAUUGAUGUUCUUCUUUCUGUUGAUGAUGAUCUCCUUGAUCUUUUUAACUUACUAGAGGUCGGCAAUCCAAGAGACAAUUGGGUUCUCUUCCUUGCUUUGGUGGCAGUAUCGCAUCUCAUAAACCUGCGCCAUGCAAUAUAUUAUACACAUAAUUUAUGCCCGCUAAGAAAAACGUUGAAUGGAUCGUUAACUAAAAUGAAUUUGUACAAACACAACCUCCCAAGUAAACUACAUAAUAUAAAUCAUAUAUGUGAUGGCAAGCCAAUAUGGUUGUGCUUAAUCACAGUGUUGUAUGGGAAAACUAAGACUUAGGAACCUAAUGUGCCUGAAAGAAAUACCUUUUAAUCCACUGCAUUGUUUGCUUGAGAAAGAAAAAAAGUGGUAAAACUUGUUUAUCCUUGUUUCUAGAUAUGGUGAUGAUGUUAGCUCAUCAAAAGCCAACUACCAUGGGGUAUAGGAAGUUAUGUACACUGAUUAUUAACACGGCUUUCCGGGUUGAAUUGAAACAUCCUUGUUCACUAAAUACUGUUUUCUCAUCCUCUUAAGUUUCCAAAAAGUUUUAGCUGUUUUUAUAAAAUGUGAAGGCAUAGUGGAGAUUACAAGGUACGGAAGUAUGAGUGACAGUAAAAUUGAUAAAGAAAUGAGGCAUAGAUCAUAGGAAUGUUACAAUAAAUAUUUAUCCCUAGAAGCCAUAGAGAAGUGAGAUUUCAACGUUAGGAAUAGAAAUUGAGUAAUAAGAAAGAAACCUGCAAUGACUCGUGUUCGCCUUGAAUUGCUUCUGCUCAACAAAUCCAGAUGGAAGCUUCAUGGAGCCUUUAGAGCUCAUAAGAGUAUUGGUGGUCAGCUCUGGUAUCUUUGCAGAUCUGGCAACUUGUUUAGGAUCGCUAGAUUUCUGAAUUCCUGCAAGAAUCAUAAAACAAGAGUCUAAUUACAUUGACCACCAAGAUACCAAUGGUUCUAACAAUUCAAGCAUCAGUCUAAUGGAAAAGCAUCAAGCAAUAAACAUAUUAGUUCCACUGACAGUUGCUUCUUCACCAUGAGUACCAGAUUUCCAAUAAGACACCUUAACCAUUAAUUCAAAAAGGCACCUAAAUUCCACAGGAGAAAAAUUAAAAAGUUAUUUACCAUUGUCGGCAAUUCUGUUCCGAUUGAACCUUUUGCAACCAUUAAGGCUCUGUUUCAGGCAUUGGUCGGCGUUGGGGGCGGACCCUUGGCUUGACUGGACGGCGGCAACACCAGUGUCGGCAGCACAGAAUUCAUUGAGGAGGGGAUUUUCCAAUUCAGCCAUGAGAGAAGAAAUGCCGAGAGAUAAGAUUGAGUUUGAAAAAAAAAAAAUUAGAUAUCGGAACAAUGGAAUAGUGAUUCUCACGGCUGGUAAGGCUUUUAUUAUGGUUGAGGGUUCCUAUUAGCUUCGUGUAUACACACAUACUGCAAUUCAAUUCCAUAUUGACAAGGGAUUUGAGGAAGAGAGGAGACAGAUAGAGAUAGGGAUUCGAGAACGGUAAAACUGGUAGGGAUCGAUACAAUUGGCGGGUGGGGAAUUAUUUUUUGAUUAUUUCACCGAAUUGCCCUGAACUUGUACCUAAUUAUCCAUUUACCCCAUAACUUUAGCAAUCCUAGAGACAAUUGGGUCUCUUCCUUACUUUGGUAGCAGUAUGGCAUCCCACCCACCUGCGCCAUGAAAUAUAUUAUACACAUACUGUAUGGCCUCUAAGAAAAAUGUUUCGUGGAUCGACAUAUGAUUCGUUAACUAAACCGUACGAAUUUGGACAGACACAACCUCUCAAUUAAACUACAUAAUUAAUACAUAUCAUAUAUGUUAUCGCAAGCCAAUAUGGUUUGUGGUUGAUCACAGUGAAACUCUAAGUUGUAUGGAAAAACUAAGACUUAGGAACCUAAUUUGGCUGAAAGAAAGGUCUUUUCCACCGCAUUGUUUGCUUGAGAAAGAAAAAAGAGGUAAAACUUGUUUAUCUUGUUUCUGGAUGGUUAUAAUGCUAGCUUAUCAAAAGCCAACUACCAUAGGGUAUAGUAUAGGAGAAUAUGUACACUAAUUAACAUGGUUUUCCGGGUCACUAAAUUACUUUUUUCGUUUUCGAAAAGUCUUAGUAAAAUAAGGCAUAGAUCAUAGGAAUGUUACAAUAAAUAUUUAUCCCUAGAAGCCAUGACAACUGAGAAUUCUAAUCUGUUUUCAAACCUAGGAAUAGAAAGAAACCUGCAUAGAGUAGUGUCCGCAAUUCUGUUCCAAUUGAAGCUUUUACAAGCAUUAAGGGUCGGUUUCAAGCAUUGGUCGGCGUUGGUGGCCGGCACAGGAGGGGGGCCGGGGCCCUUGAAGUGAAUUCGUGGCAAGCGGGACUGUGUGCGGUGGUGGCGCCAGUGUCGGCAGCACAGACUUCAUUGAGGAGGAGGUUUUCCGAUUCAGCCGUAAGAGAAGAACAACCGAGAGAUAUUAAGUUUGGAAAAAACUAAUAAAUAAAUUCAGGUAUCAGAACAAUAGUCGAUGAACUGCGGCUGUUUUUUUAUAGGUGUAUUAUUAUGUCUCUUGGAGAGAUACACCCACGCCUCAACUUUGCUUCUGAAUUCUAUAUAUGCAAGGAUAAGCUUUCUUGCGGAAGGGGCGAACUCUCCGUCUACAAAUCUAUUGUCCCCAUUUGAUUUUUCACUUUUUCAGAGUUAUUACUCGUACAAAGAAUUUAGUACUUUCACGUUUAAUACUAUAUUAUACACGUAUGUACCUAUUUUUCAAUAAUACAUUCGUGUUUUAUAUACGUUUUAAAGACUUGGUAAAAUUCACGUUUUUUAAAAAGCAAACAUACAAUACUUGUAUUGAACAUGCACGUACGUAUUUUCAUAUUUAAUACACGUAUUUUUUACAAAAUUUUCAAUAAUACACAAAAAAAAUUCACGUAAAAUACAUAUAAUUCUAACAUAUUAUUGAAUACAAAUAAAAUAUAUGAAAAUUUUUAAAUAAAAUAUUUAAAUAAAAUUAAAUAAAAUCUAUUAAAAUAUUAUAUAGUGGCUGAACUUUUAAGCUGUAAUAUGUUAAAAUUUUGCCGAAAAAAUAUGUACAUAUUUUAUUCCUAUAGCCGAAUAAACUAAUGCAAAUAGGAAGGUUCUUUUUCUUAAUUUUUUUUUUAAAUAGUAUAGCCGCGCGGCUAUACUACGGUUUUCUUAAGUGGGCGCCUAGCGCCAGGCGGGUCUCUUUUUUUUUUUUUUGGUUAAAUAAAUAGUAGGGCCGUGCGGCUAUACUCGGUUUUUCUAUUUUUUUUAUAAAGAAAUAGUAUAGCCGGCGGCUACUCUGGUUUUAAUUUUUUUUUUAAAGAAAUAGUAUAGCCGGUCGGCUAUUCUCGGGUUUCCCUAUUUUUUUUCAAAAGAAAUAGUAUAGCCGCGCGGUUAUACCCCUUUUUUUAAUUUCUUUUAAAAAAGAAAUAGUAUAGCCGCGCGGUUAUACCCUUUUUUUUAAUUUCUUUUAAAAAAGAAAUAGUAUAGCCGGGCGGCUAGACGCGGUUGUUCUAACUUUUUCAUAGAAAUAGUAUAGCCGGGCGGCGAUACUCGGUUUUUUUAAAUUUGUUGGAAAAAAUAGUAAAGCUUGGCGCCCAUACUCGGUUUUUUAUGUUUAAAAAGAAAAAGAAAUAGUAUAGCAAAACGGCUAUACUCGGUUUUUUUCUAGUUUUUUUUAAAAAAUAGUAUGGCCGCCCGGCUUUACGCGGGGCUCUUUUUAAUUAUUAUUUUUUAAUAAUUAGUGUAACCAAGCGGCUAUACUCUUUAUAUAUUACACCAUUACCCGAGUCUCUAUACGAACCAAGUCGGUGAUUUUGAUCUCCCAUCAUUCUUUUCGAAUUUGUUGUAUCAUUACUUCUUUUUUGGGUUAAGUAGUGUAAAUUACAUUAAUUUUUGCAUUCAAUAAAUCUCAUGGAAAAUACUUCCCUCCUUCCUCUAUAAGUAGUUACUCAUACAUUUCUAACAAUGACAUUUUGACAUGUGUAUAUAGAAGUUUUUUUUGGGUGUGUUUUUGAUAAAUUAUUUUUGCACAUAUGUCAAACCGUGAUUUGCAGGUUGAAGAAGUAUCCAAAUCUUAUUACCAACUGAAUUUUCCUAACAAAGGCCAUGGGUCCUCUAUAUAUGCCCAUGCUGAGCACCAAAUAAUUUCAGUUAAAAAAGAUUGUUUAACCUUCUUGAAGCCUCAUCCAAUAUAGAAAUGUUAGCCCAUAUAUAACAACUUUAUUGCCACAACUUUUACAACUUGUAUCAAUGUCUUCAGACAUUCAGUAAAAAACAAAUGUCUUCAGACAUAUCAAACAGCUAAAACAGAACAAUGGACAAUAAUAAAAGCAACAGCUGAUAAUUAGCAUGAGCUUGAGCAGGGUCAAACUUUAUGGUCCAAAGUCUCAACUUCUGAAGUUUGAGCUGAACAAGUCCCCUGACUCUGAGCAUUUCUUGAAAGCACUUUCUUCUUCAAGUACAUCCAGAAGAAACAACUAGUACUUGAGCGAACCGUUUCGCCAUUAGCUGUGCCCAACUUGCCUCUUUCUUCUUCUUCUUCUUCUUCUUCCAUCUUCAUUUUCUUCUUGUGGAGGCAUCUCAGCACAUGUGCUUCAGCAAGACUAUAACCAGCAGACAUGGCCUAUUUUUAUUUUUAUUUUUGGUUUAAAAAAAAAAAAGCAAGUGAUUUUUUUUGGUGUUCAAUUUUAAAGAAGAAAUGGGGUAUUGUAAUUGAUGGGGCAUUGAGAGGGCGAUGAGUAGUUUCUUAUAACAUUUGUGCUGGCUUGGGAAGCAAGCAUGCAUACUUGCAGCGCGCACAAAGAUGAUGUGACAAUGUUGACAAAAUAACUUCUCUUGGACUUUUGAAGUUCGCGGGCAAAUAAAAAAUUGGUGGCUGGCUGCUGCUUCUGGUUGGAAGGUUUGGUCUAUGUGUAUUCUUGCUUGGUCACCAAGGAAAAAGGAAAGGAAAGUAAGCUACUCUUUUCAUGUUUGAAAAUGAAGUCAACUAUAGUUACAAUUUAGGGAUCUUCACUAAUAUACCCAAAAUAGGAGUUGAAAUUAUAAACAAACCCCACAUGGAAAACACUUCAUAAACACACCCAAAAUCCAUUUAUUAAAUAACAAAUUAGUGUUGAAGUUCCAAUAAAUUACAGCACUGCCACUAUCAAGCCCAACAGAAAAAAACUCAAAAAACACCCAAAACAAACCCAGCCCAAAUUUAUAAACAAGCCCAAACAUUGUACCAUCUCGUAUUCCAUAACUUUCGGCCCAAAAAAAAAAGUAAACCGUAAAAGUACAAUGUUAAUACCAUCUCGUAUUCCAUAACAUUGUUAAUACCAUGUCAUAAAAGUACAAUGUUAAUACCAUGUCAUAGAAGUAUAUUGUUAAUACCAUUCCAUAGAAGUAUAUUGUUAAUACCAUUCCAUAAAAGUACAAUGUUAAUACCAUGUCAUAGAAGUACAUUGUUAAUACCAUGUCAUAGAAGUACAUUGUUAAUAUCAUUUCAUAGAAAAACAUUGUUAAUACCAUUUCAUAGAAGUACAUUGUUUAUACUAUGUCAUAGAACUAUCUUGUUAUUACUAUGUCAUAGAACCAUCUUGAGUCCUUUCCAAAGGCAUAAACUUUCUCAGCAUCACUGAUAAGCAUUGUCUUGCCAACCCCAGCAGCGAAGAAUACUAGUAAUAACAAGAUACCUCUACAAAAAAAAAAAAAUGUAUACUGUUAAUACCAUGUCAUAGAACUAUCUUAAUACCAUGUCAUAGAACUAUCUUCCUAGUAAAAAUCACAUUCUACAUAUCAUAAACUUCAAGUGCACAACUAUAUAUAUAGCAAAUUAUAGAGCAUGCUUUGUUACUGAAAUUCUGUUAAUGCUAUGUCAUAGACGUACACUGUUAAUACUAUGUCAUAGAAAUCAACUCAGUUUCAAGGUAUGAACAGUAUAACAACUGUUCAUACCACUUAUUGGAAGUCAAUAACAACAUCAUUUCAUUUGCAUCAUAGGUAUGAUAAACCAAAUAAAGUCUAACCAAAUCAGAAAAUAUUUGAGAUAUGAAUAGAGGAUCCAGUGUUCGUUAAUUUACAUAUUCAAUUGUAAACCAAAUAAAGUAAGAGGGCCACAUUACAUACUAACUCAUACAUACAUAUGGACUUAGAAGUCUUUUAAACUACUUGUUAAUCCUAGAGACUUUCCUGACUUUGUCUCAAACUCGACAUGCAAUGAACUGUUCCCAGUAUAAAUGAUCAGCCAUGAGAAAGCUGUCAGGUUCUUAUUACUAAACUAAACAAGAAGCUGGACACGUUAAAGGAAUAUACAAUUAUUUCUAUCCGCAAAAAAAUGUCUUUAAACGCAGGGCUUGACUUAAACUCUAAUGCCUAUCAUGCUAUUGAUUGCAAACUGAGUUGAGACUCCAAAUCAAAUAGUUGGUUGCGAAAUUCCAUAACUAUAGUCAGGUAUAGUGCCGUAUCAUGGAUGCUAAAUUUUAAACCAGGUGAAUUACCAAUUGCAGCUAGCCUUUCCUUCUUGUUUACUAUCUUUUCCUCCUUGCUCAAUGGCUUUUUAAACCCAAGUUCGGCUGUUGCCAUUUCUUUCUCUUUUCUCUGUGCAGCAAGACGCUCAUCAAAACUGCAAAAUUUGAGCAUUCAGAAAAGACUUCAAGAAAAUGAGAACUUGUUCUUCUGCUGAGACUUAUCUACCUCUCACUUUGGAAUCACUAAUAAAAGUAAACAAGGAAUGUUUUAACCUAACAUCUUGCUUACAUCCAAGGGUAACAUGCCAAGUCAAUGAAAAUUAUGCCCCAGCCCAUAAGACAAUUUACAACAAUAGAAAUAAUAGAAUCGUUCGUUCAUAACUAAUGCAAGCAUGACAGCAGGCCAACCUAAACAAAAACUCCACUCAAACCAAAAGAUGAUAUAGUUGGUCUUAUGUUGCACUUUGCAAGUUUGUGUAUCACUAGCAGUCAUAUUAUAAAUUCUGAUUUGCCACAGAAGCAUUAUUGGCCAAGUAGCUCUUGAAUUGCUCAACAUCAGGGAACUCAAAUUUUAGCCUAAAAAACACGACUAAACAAAAAUAUAAAUAAGCGAAAAAGGGACCCAUGCUAUAUUCAAAAUUUCUGUUUCCUCUCUAUGGAAAGCACAUGUUAAGAAAGAAUAGUGAUGUUCGUCUUACAACUGUCAUAUUUCCAGUAAACACAAGAACAUCAUCUAAAUCAUUGCCUAAAGGACUUGCACCAGUAUAAAUUGUUUCCCACAAUUGGUGGAUCAUAGGCACAAAAUGGAACCAUCGUAUAAUUAAUUCAACUUAACUGUAAUUUCGUAGCCCUAAGCAUGACCAGAGGCUACUAUCCUUCAAAAAUUAAAACAAAAGGAAACGAUUAAAAAACCUUAUCUAGAUUCUUCUCUAAACUCCAUAAAAUGUAUCCAGCAAACCUCAUCUAGUGUUUCUAAGCCAUAAGAGAACAACUAAGUCAAAAACCCCCAAUAUUCUCAAACUUUUAACUAAAAAAGUAACGAUGACUAAAGAACAAAUAAAUUAGUUUCCUUCAAUAUUGAAACAAUCAUAAACCACAGCAUAAAAAGUUAACAUGUUUAGAUUUCUAACCUAAGCAUACCAACUAAAUCGUUGAAUUUAAAACGUUCACACGCCAAACACAAAAAGAAAACACAAAGAUUCAUACAAUAAAUACUGAAAUGAUAAAUCAGGAUAAGAAUAAAAAGGUGAAAAUACGUACAUCAGAGGCAUUACUAAUGAGCUCACAUAGAAAGGUUUCCUUCUUGUUGUAGAAGGUGUUGAUGAUCAAACUUAGAAGCUGGUUGAUCUCAUAGAUCACGACCCGAGUCCACCUCCUGAGUUGUAAAACGACGUUGCCGAGGUUGAUGUAUCCCGCUCUUCAAAGAAAAGCUUAUUCAAUGACGGUCGCAGAUAGGAAGAUGAAGGGGCAGCCCCUUUGGUUCUGGAAGCUUCGUCGUCGUCGGCAUCGGAGAAUAGGAGAUUCCGGUUGAAAAUCGAGAACACCGGACGAAUCUGGCCAUUUUGGAAUAUAUCGUCGGUGGAAAUCGACGAUCCGUCGGGUGCGAAAGAGAAAUCGUCUUCAUCUUCGUUCUUCUCGCAAUCACCACCGGCGUCGGCGUUCUGAACACCUUCAUCCGGUAAUUGACACCUCAAAUCUACAGUAGUAGCCAAAGAAUUCCGCGAGCUUAACCAUUAGCUCUGUUCAUAUAAAAAAUGAAAAUUAGCACCAAAUUCAACGAAGAAACUGAAAUCAAGUCGAAAUUCAAGUAAAUUAAGCAAAAAUAAAAAGGAACUUAACGAAUUGAAGCAGAUGGAACAAACCUGCAAAGGAAAUGGAGGCAUCGCUUAUGAGAACACAUUUGAGCCCACCAACGUAACGGAGAUUGUCAACGGUGUGACGAGGGAGGAUUUUCGUUGGUCUUGUGUUGGUCCAUAGCUCUGAGACUGUUUGGCUUACUUUGAAGGCAGAGAGAGAGAAGGGAGAGAACAGAGGAGAUGCGAGGGUUUGAAGGAGGAGAGGGGCUUGCUUCAAACCUCAGGAGUGGUUUUGUCUAAUUAUCUUCUCUGCAUAUCCAAAACUAAUUUAAUGCUAAAAAGGGUUAUAAAGGUAUUUCAUCUUAUUAAUUAAAUUAAAAAAUAUACAAUUGUUUAUUUUUGGGUUUCUUUUGGGUAUAUUUAUAAAGAUUAAAUGGUAUAGGGUAUAUUUAUAGUUUCAUGUCUAGAAAUGGGUAUUUCACUAAUUUUGUAUACAAUUUAUCAUAGUAAAUAUAUAUAUAUAUAUAUUUUUGGAGAUUCACUAUUGUACCCAAUAUAGGGGCCCAAAUUUAAAAUAUAUAAAUUUAAAAAAACCCCCCACAUGAAAUGGACUUUAAAAACACACACAAAACUUAUUUACAACAUAAUAAAGAGGCUUUGAACUUCAUAUAAAUUACAAAACUAUCAUUGAUUUCUUAAAACAAGCUCAACCUCGAAACCUCAUAAAAAAAAAUUCAAAACACUCAAUAGGGUAUCAAAGUAAUUUAAUAAUCAAAAUUAAAUUCAAUAUGAUCAGCUGUCAUUUUUGGGGAUUUUUUGAGUUUGUUUAUAGAAAUUAAAUGGUAUAGGGUUUAUCUAUAUCAUUUGUGCUAAGAAUAGAUAUAUAACUAAAUAUCUCUUCUUUUUUCUUUUUUGAAAAUAAAGCCGCAUAUUCGCACAUAUCCUCCUCACACACCUACAUAGUCAAUCGUAAGACCUCUCUCCUAAGGCUCCUCCCAGUUUUUGGUCAAUAUUAUCAUCACCAUUAAUGCUGUUGUUAGUUCCAUCAUUGUCGUAGAAUGGACCCAAACCAAUAACAAUAAGGUCGCAGUCUGUUGCCAAUAUAAUAUUCCAUUGACGUUGUGUUUACUAAUUAGGAAUUCGAAUUCGAAUCAGGAAUUGAAUUUAAAUUAUGGAGAAUUUGUAUGUUUACUUCACAUCAGAGAAUUAAAAAGUAAAUGGGCCCCAUACAAAAUUAGGAAUUGAAUUGCUAAUUUUGGAGGAAUUCAAUUCUUGGGUGGGAGGUGGUAUUCUAAUUCAUGGAGAAGUAACUCAUUAAGAAUUCAUCUUUUUUACCUAUAAUAUCCUCACACAAUUUUAAAAUUUUCAAAAUUUCCAUCUACUUUAACCCAACAACGAGGACAUUUUAGUAAUUAGCACCACUCCUACUACAAUUCCAUAUGAUUUAGUAAACAACUUCAGUAGAAAUCUAAAAUCCUGAAUCUAAGUCUCAUCAAUCUAGUUUGGUAAACAACUUCAAUAGGAAUCCGUAAUCUAACUCCUCCUCAAUUCAAUUUCUCCUAAUUCGAUUACGGAUUAAUAAACAUGACAUGAAUGCAAAGGACUCACGGAGGCAAAGUAAAUAAAAGUGGUGUCAGGACGAGACAAUUGAUUUUUUCCACUUACCAGUGUCUCGGAAGAGAAGAUCGCCACAUUUAAUUUGAAGGUAUCACAUUUCUCUUCAUCAUCUGAAUCAUGAUUUGCAAAUUCAACAGUUCGAAGAAUUCUCACAACCGUGUACGUACACUCAACAUUAAGCUGGAUGUUGUUUCCUUUCCAAUAGUCUUCCUCACAUUUAUAGUUAGGAACAUUGCAGAUGAAACCCACUCGGACCCUCUCGUGACGUCGACUUGGGGUGGGAGAAGAUCAACCCAUUGCAUGGUAUAUGCAUUGCAGAUGUAGUAAUCACGUUGAUAAUCCUUGCUUGUUGUGCAGCAUAAAACUAAGUCAUUAUAUGUCGCUACCACAACUGACUUUCCCAUCAAACCGUGAAAUGUGAAUCUUUUGAGCACAGGAGUUAAACUCGAUUACAUAUUAGGGUAUUUUUGGGUAGAUCAAGCUCAUGAGUCUCAAGAAAUUUACUGAAAAUUUCUGCUUUAAGUAGUAAAUGGGGUGUAUACGGAACGACUUAAAUUCACAGUCCCGCGUAUAUCGCCAUAACAAAAAUAAGAUGGAAACAAAAUAGUUGAACACAAAACAGAACAUAUUAGGGGUAUGGAAAAUGAAAACAUUAGUGAUGGGGUAUCCGAAGGAUAAAUGUACCAGAUGGGGACAUAGGGCAGUGAGGCCGAUAGGGAUUACGUACUGGGUACAAUUUUUGAAGGAUAAUCAAGAUAUGAAAUAAUGAUGUGACAUGAUUUGGAUUGUGUAUCUUUUUAUUAUAUUUUCGAGAGUGUAAAAUGACAUUGCUUGACUUGCAUAUUACAUAAUCUACUCAUUGAGCGGUGGUUUGCUCAUCCCUCACAUAUUUUGUUUUCUCAGAUUAAUUAGUGGGCCAAACAAAGAUGAAAUCAGAGAAGUUGGAUUAGUUUAGAGUGAUAAAGUUUUAUUUAUAUCUUGUAUACUUGUAAGAUUACUAUUAUUUUAUAUAUAUAUAAAGGUAAUGUAUUUUAACCAAUUUUUCAGUAUUUUAUUUUAUUUCGUUCAAUUCACGCACCCUGAUUCAUGAAAAUUCUUUAUUUUCGGAUCGGGGCGUGACAAAUGGUAUCAGAGCCCAUGGAUUAGAUACCCCUGGGGAAGAAAUGUGAUUUAAUCUCAGUAAAUUUUGAGGACGCAAUUUUUUUUUAAGGAGGGUAGAUUGUGAAAACCUUUUUUAUUUAUUUUUAAACUAUAUAAAUUAUUGUACAUACUACAUAUUAAUUAUUUAUGAAUUUUUCUUAUUUAAAUAUUUAUUGUGAAGACUUAUAUGUUAUUAAAUCUUAAACCUAGUAUGAGAUUAUUCCUUUAGUUGAAAGAUGGUACCAUUCUUGUUUUCCACGUGUAGAGAUUUGUAAUUGGUUUUAAUCAAGUCAUCAUUGCCAUGCCACCUUGUAUGCUAGUAACAAGUGGUGUUGUGAUAUCAUUAGCCAAAGGGGGAUGAAUCACAUUAUUCUAAUCAUCAUUGCCAUAUCACCUUGCAUGCUAGUAACAAGUGAUGUUGUGAUAUCAUUGGCCAAAGGGGGAUGAGUCACAAUAUUCCCUUAUCUUUUGGUGAUUUAAAAUAUUAUAUAUAUAAAUAUUAUUUGGUUGCAUCCGUAGCUUCUCUUAUAAGUAUCAUCAUUCCUUACUUCAAUCAUUCAUUCCAAUUAUUUAGAAUAGAUUUUUCCACCAUGAAGUAGUGUUUAAGAGAGAGAGAGAGAGAGAGAGAGAGAGAGAAACAAGAUGAAGAACGUGUUUGUUUGUCUUGCAAUAUUUCAUACUUGUCAUGGUGAGUUGGUUAUGUAAUGUGUUCUAAAAGUUCUUAUUUUGUGAUAAAUGUGAAAAUCAUGGAUUUAUUCUAUUUACAAAUCUCUCUCUAUUUUCAAGUCAAGCAUGUCUAAUUUGUGCAAUAUUUCACACAAUAUAUAUUAUUUGGAGUUUUUAUGAAGUACGUACUAUUCAUGGAACAUGAAAACUUCAGUGACAAGGUAUCCGAAGGAUAAACGUACCAGACGGAGACAUAGGGCAAUGAGGCCGAUAAGGGUAAAGUGUUGGGUACAAUUUGUGAAGGAUAACCAAUAUUUGAAGUAAUGAUGUGACAUGAUUUGGAUUUUGUAUCUUUUUAUUAUAUUUUCUAGAAUAUGUAAAAUGACAUUGCUUGACUAGCAUAUUACAUAAUCUACUCACUGAGCGGUGGUUUGCUCUUCCCUCGCCUAUUUUGUUUUUUUUUUUAUAAAUUAAUUAGUGGGCCAAACAAAGACGAAAUCCGAGAAGUUGGAUUAGUUUAUAAUGAUAAAGUUUUAUUUAUAUCUUGUAAACUUGUAAGAUUACUACUUCUUUUUUUUUUCUUUUUUUUUGGGGUAUAAGGGUAAUGUAUUUUAACCAAUUUUUUCAGUAUUUUUAUUUUAUUUCGUUCAAUUCAAGCACUGUGAUUCAGGAAUAUUCUUUAUUUUCGAAUAGAGGAGUGACAGUCUUAAAUCCAAUUCCUACAAAGCCGAGUUGUCUAUCAAUCAAGUAAGCCUGGUGAAAACGGGGUAGAUUCAAGGAAAUGUCGAGUGAAACUAUCAUGUUGUGUUGGAUGAUCUCUUUUACUUCAGUUUUACAUUUCACUUUAGACUAUUCAAAAGAAAAUUUCUAUCCUGGUUUUCUUUAGGGUGGUUACUAGGGUCGUUGAUGUCUGAGCUAGUCAUUCACAAAUAAUAAGUAAAUAUUCGAGUAUGGGAUUAGCUGAGAUGAACGAUAAAUUUUCAUAUACAAGUACAAAACCAGUUCAUCAUUACAACCUUUUUUUCAAAGACAAUAUCCUCAAAAACCAUGAAAUUUAAGCGAAGGCAAUUAUCGUUAAGCAUGUUUAAUCUCUUUUGGCAAUUCGGGAUGCCCUCGACGAAUUUCCCAAAAAUGUGCGUGUAAAUGUUACCAACAGCAGUGAAACCAUACAAAAAAGUAUUGCACAAAUAUUAGAACUCUACAUAAAUCCAAAUAAAUAAAAUGUUUAAAUUGAAACAGAUACCCACACGAACUAACAGGUUGUUCUUCAAUUCCUGCAAGCUCCAUACAUCGCCAAAAUAACCAUCUUUGAUAAACUUAUUCAGAAUGUUUUCAUUGUUACUCACAAAGCUGUCAGCAUUGUUCCAGGAGAUGAAUUGAGUGAUAUUAGACUCCACCACCCAAUACAAACAAAUCGGUAAACCAAGCUUUACCGCCAGAAAUUGACGUUUGGCAAACUUGCACAGACGUAACAGCUCGAUUGUGGCUUUGUUACGGCAAAUGACGGUGACUUCGGCAUAUUUUAUUGCAUCAGCUAUAGCUAUAGUUACAGCGGCGGAUUCUUGUUUUAUGGUUGCUUCGUCCGGCUCAAUGGCAAACCAGAUAAACAUAAGUUGCUUUCUCGGUUGUGCUGCCAUAAACGCAUUCUAAGCAUCUUCAAGAAGCUCACUUGCCAAUUGAAUAUCUUGGUAAGAAGUUGCACUAUUAUUCUCCUCUACCUCAAUCCAGUCAUUGAAGCCCUUCAUAGACGAAGGCCAAUCAAGCACAAGAACGCCAUUGCGAAGCGUGUGGCGGAGGAGAAGAUCCAACUUGAGUUCCAACUAGAUUUUGUGGUGGAGCCUGUGGCAAAGCCGAAGAUCUAACUGGAGCUUGUGGCAAAGCUAAAAAUAGUGCCGAAGCACGUGGGGAGCCCAAGAUCCAACUAGGAUUCAUGGCGGAGCCCAAGAUCACACUAGAGUUUAUGGGGGUGGAAGAGCAAAAGAUUUCAUUGGGGCUUAUGCUUGAGCCAAAGAUUGCGACGGAGCCCUAGGCGGAGACCGAGAUCCAACUUGUGUUUGUAGCGAACGCGACAGUCGUGGAGACUAUGGCCAAAGUAAAGAUUGCACCAGAAGAGGCGUUGGAGCCUAAGAUACAACUGGAGUUCAUGGAGGAGCCCAAGAUUACUCUAGAGUCGAAGAUUGCGCCAGAGCCCGUAACUAAGCCAAAGAUCCAACUGGUGAAGUCGAAGAUAGCGCCAGAGCUGGUGGUGCAACCGAAGAUCCAACGUGAGUCUGUGGCAGAGUCGAAGAUAGUAGAGGCUAUGGUGGAGUGGAUGAUUGUGAAGGCUAUAGCGGAGGUGAAGAUAGCACUAAAGGCGGCGUAGGAUCCCAAGAUCGCAUUGGUGGCCACGGCAUAUCCGAAGAUGGCACCGAAUGCUGUGCUAAACGACGUGGAUUAAGCCAUGAAAAUUGAGGCUUGGGUUGAGGAUGUGGGAGCAGGGGAAAGGCACUCUUGCAGCAAUAGGAUUAGCUCAUGCCUUCAGCCAAGCUUCAAAUCCUUCUAUAUUGUAAAGGAAAAAUAUAACAAGAGGCUUCGGCGAAGAAGAUGACGACACUGAAGGUUAGGGACGCUGUGUUAGAGUCAAAUAUUGCGGAUUGAGAGAUGUAAAGGGAAGCUUGGGCUAAGGAGGUGGAAGCAGGGGAAAGGCACCCUUACAGCAAUAUGAUCGGCUCUUGCCUUCAACCAAGCUUCAAAUCCUUAUAUAUUAUUAGGGAAAGAUGAUAUGGGAGGUAUCGGCGGAGGGGACGAAAACAUUAGAGAUCGGGGACGCUGUGUUAGAGACAAAUGUCGCGGAUUGAGCCAUGUAAAAGGAGGGUUGGGCUGAGGAGGUAGGAGCGGGGGACGGGUCACCCUUGCAACAAUAGGAUCAGCUUCUACUUUCAACCAAGCUUUAAAUCCUUCUAUAUUGUUAGGGAAUGAUGAUACUAGAGGCUUUGACGGAGGAGAUGAUGACAUUAGAGGUUGAGGAUUCCUAUCAUUCUCUGCCAUCUGGAAAAGGAGUUUUGACUUUUCAAUCUUGAUCAAUUUCCCUCUAAAAAAUUUUGUAUCACUUGGUGUAUUUAUUGAAGAGAUUGAUUUUUCAUAUAGCCUUGGUACAUAUGAAGAUGAGCCAGUUUGUUUUCAAUGUGAGAUAAUAUACUGUAACCCAAUUCAAUUGGGCAGGAAACAAGGUCACAUUUAAAGUAAAAAACCCGAUUUAGACUAUGAGCCAUCUUUUGUACAAAAUUAAAAAUAAAUAAAAAAAUCUUUGAAGAGAAUGAUUUUUCUUGAGAAAUAAAGGACAUGCAUUACUAACAAUUUUAGUUCUAUUACUUAGCAUUUAUCUCAAAUCCUUCUAUAUUGUCAGGGAAAGAUGAUAUAGGAGGCUUCAAAGGAGGAGACGACGGCACUAGAGGUUGGGGAUGUUGUGCUAGAGUCAAAUGUCACGGAUUGAGCCAUGUAAAGAGAGGCGUGGGCUGAGAAUGUGGGAGUGGGGGAAAGGGCACUCUUGCAGCAAUAAGAUAAACAAUAACUCCCCCCCCCCCCCCCCCCCCCCGAACACAGCGUACAACUUUCAUCGUACUGUGCUCUCUAAAGAGCAACUAUUCUCAAAAUCUUUACUCAUGUCUUCUCCCAAGCUUCAAAUUCUUCUAUAUUGGUAAGGAAAGAUGAUACGAAAGGCUUCGACGGAGGAGAUGACGGCACUGGAGGUUGAGGAUGCUUUGUUAAAGUUAAAUGUCGCAGAUUGAGCCUUGUAAAAGGAGGCUUGGGCUGAGGAAGUGGGAGCGGGGGAAGGGGCACCCUAGCAGCAAUACAAUCGGCUCAUGCCUUCAGCCAAGCUUCAAAUCCUUCCAUAUUGUUAGAGAAUGAUAAUACAAGAUGCUUUGGUGGAGGGGACGACGGUACUAGAGGUUAGGGAUUCUUAUCCUUCUCUGCCAUCUUAAAAAUGGGUUUUAACUUUUGAAUCUUGAUUGUUUAAAUUUUGAAUCUUGAUCGAUUUCCCUCUAAAAGAUUUUCUAUCGCUUGGUGUAUUUAUCGAAGAGAUUGAUUUUUCUUGUAGCUUUGGUACAUUUGAAUAUGAGCCAAUUUGUUUUCCAUGUGAGAUAAUAUAUUGUAGCCCAGUUCAAUUGGGCAGGAAACAAGGUCACAUUUGCAAUAAAAAGCCUGGUUUGGACUUUUGAGCCAUAUUUUGUACAAAAUUAAAAAUUAAAAAAAAAAUCUUUGAAGUGAUUGAUUUUUCUUGGGGAAUAGGGGACACAUACUACUAACAAUUUUAGUGAUAUAACUAUUACUUAGCAUUUAUAUCAAAUCAUUCUAUAUUGUUAGGGAAAGACAAUACGAGAGGCUUCGGCGAAGGAGACGACGACACUGGAGGUUGGGGAUGCUAUGCUAGAUUCAAAUCUCGCAGAUUGAGCCAUAUAAAGGGAGCCUUGGGCUGAAGAGUUGGGAGCAGGACCCUUGCAGUAAUAGGAUCGACUCCUGCCUUUAGCCAAGCUUCAAAUUGUUUUAUAUUGUUAGGGAAAGAUGAUAUGGGAGGCUUCAGAGGAAGAAACGACAACACUGGAGGUUGGGGAUGUUGUGCUAGAGUUAAAUGUCGCGGAUUGCGCCAUGUAAAGGGAGGCUUCGGUUAAGGAGGUAGGAGUGAGGGAAGGGGAACCCUUACAUCUAUAGGAUUUGCUCCUGCCUUUAGCCAAGCUUCAAAUCCUAUAUUAUUAGGGAAAUAUGAUAGAGAGAGGUUUCAGCAGAGGAGAUGAUGGCAUUGGAGGUUGGGAACGCUGUACUAUAGUCAAAAUGUUGCGGAUUGAGCCAUGUAAAGAGAGGCUUGGACUGAGGAGGUGAGAGAGGGGGAAAGGACAAUCUUGCAACAAUAAGAUUUGCUCUUGUCUUCAGCCAAGCUUCAAAUAGUUCUAUAUUGUUAGGGAAAGAUGAUAUAGGAGGCUUCGACGAAGGAGACGGCGACACUGGAGGUUGAGGACACUGUGCUAGAGUUAAAUAUCACGGAUUGAACCAUGUAAAGGGAAGCUUGGGCUGAGGAGGUGGAGGGGGGAAUGGGCACCCUUGCAGCAAUACAAUCGGCUCAUGCCUUCAGCCAAGCUUCAAAUCCUUCUAUAUUGUAGGGAAAAGAUGAUACGGGAGGCUUUAACAGAGGGGACGAGGCACUAGCAGUUAGGGACACUGUGCUAGAAUCAAAUGUCGCGGAUUGAGCUAUGUAAAGAAAGGUUUGGGCUAAGAAGGUGGGAACAGGGGAAGGGGCACCCUUGCAACAAUAGGAUCGGCUCAUGCCUUCAACCAAGCUUCAAACCCUUCUAUAUUGUUAGGGAAAGUUGAUACGAGAGACUUUGGCAGAGGAGACGACGAGACUAGAGGUUAGGGAUUCCUAUCCUUCUUUGCCAUCUUGAAAAAGGGGUUUUGACUUUUGAAUCUUGAUCGUUUGAAUUUUGAAUCUUGAUCAAUGGGCUAGUUUUUUUUCAAUGUGAGAUAAUAUAUUGUAACCCAAUUCAAUUGGGCAGAAAACAAGGUCACAUUUAAAAUAAAAAGCCUGGUUUGGACUUUGAGCCUUCUUUUGUACAACAUUAAAAAUAAAUAAAUAAAUCUUUAAAGAGAUUGAUUUUUCUUGGGAAAUAGGGGACAUGGACUACUAACAAUUUUAGUGAUGUAACUAUUACUUAGCAUUUAUAUCCAUAAAUGAUAUUCACUUAGCGGUUGGAUCACUUAGUAUCAUCAAACUUUUUGGGUGCUUGCAAUUGUUCUCAUUCUUGUUCAAUAAUAUGAAUAUCUUUAACAAUUAUGAGACAUAAUUUGUAUUGAGUGAACUUUGUCAAAUUCUUAUGUCGUUGUUAUGGUCACGUUUAUAUUGUUAUGCACUUAUUUGUUUUACAAAUCAAGCACAUGAUUUCCUAACAUUAUAAAUAGCACAUAUUGUAAAAAAAAAAAACAUUUCCCUGAAAACAAAAGGUUGUAAAGAUUAUGAAUACUAGCUUUAAGAGCAUCUUCGGUGGACAUAUGUAAGUUUGGGGCUGUAGAGCCACAUUUACAUCCCAUUUUGCACCUUCGGGAUGUAAAUGUGGUUUUUACUCCAAAUAGAGUGGAUGUAAUCCGAGGAUAUAAGUUUAAUUUUCUUGUAUGAGUUUGUUUUUGUGUGUUUUUAUUUUGUGUUAUGUUUAUUUGGCUUUUUCAAACAAAUCGACUGAAAUUUUUAAAAAUUUCAAGAAUGCAUGAUUUUAUCCAAUAUGAACAGUUAGAUUAUAAAGAAAAUGGUGACUUUAUGAAUAUUUAGAUGUGUUUUCGAAUUUUUUGAACCAUUCCAUGAUUUGUGUGUGUGCGUGUUUAAUAUAAUUUGUUUGGGCCUUUUGGGUUAAUGCAGCCUUUGGCCUGUGGGAGCUGAUCUGGCCGUCCGAUUUGAAAAGCAAAAGCGGAAAGAAAUCUGGACAUUUGGUUAAUGUAGCCGUUACAAGUGGAAACCAGAUUGAAUGAAAUCUGAGCCUUCAAAUUGUGUUUUUUGGCUAAAAAGAAACCGUUGCAGCUGUAGAAUUAGUGGGCUGACGUCAUGAGUCCUCUCAGCCAACGAGGAGCCCGCCUAUCACAAAUAUCCGGCAACUGUCGCGCGUGGUGCCCGAGUUCCCUCUAGUUUCUCUAAUUUUCCAUCAUUUUAUCCUUCUCGGGCAGCUAUUGUAUAUUAUAUUUGCAUUCCAUUUCUCUCUUUUUUUAUAUAUACAAAUCACAUUAUAUUUUAAUUUAAUCUAAAUUAUGGGGAGAGAAUUCGAAUUUGAAUGCAGAAUAAGGAGCAUAUCUGUUCUAAUUAAUUUGACUAAGUUCAUAUAUAUUAUAUUUGCAUUCCUUUGCAUCUAACACUGAAGCAAUUUCCGAUCACAAGAAAUGUAGAUAUAGCAUACACAUGAUUUUACACGUGAGCUGCUCUAACCAACUAAAAUUUAGUUACUUAUGUAUAGAACCACAGAAGCAUAGUUAUGUAUAUAGUUAGUAAACGUUCAUGAGUUUGAACCAAUUGGAUUAUUUUGACAAAAAAUAUAUUCAAUCCAAUCCAACGUUGGUUAAGUAAUUUUGCAAUCUCAACAUCAACAUCAAUCAAAUAGGGUCCAAUUCAAUGUCAAUCAAACAUGAUUAUAUCAACUCAACAACUGGUUAUUGCUUUUUGACGAUGAAGGAAAAUAAUAUUUUUCAUUAAAUUUGGAUCAUCAAACUGUCCAAAUGGAAAAAUAUUUGUGUGAAAGGAAAUAACACUAUUUUACAAUACCCGUUUAUAUAUAUAUGUAAAUAGUAUAGCCUAUACUUGAUAUUUUUUUUAAACAACUAUAGCCGCGGCUUUACUUGGGUAGUUUAUUUUUAUUUUUUAAUAAAUAGUAUAGCCGUGUGGCUAUACGUCUUUUAAAUAUAAUAUACUUAAACAGUAUAGCCACACACCUAUACUACGGUUUUUGACAUGUGGUGCUGAAUCGCUAGGCGGGUCUUUUUUUAAUUUAUUGAUUUAUUUAUAUAAAUAGCUCAAUUGCCUAACAAUUCGGCAACUGAGAAGGCAACUGAGAAUAGCCACGUGAAAGGCAAGUGAGUUUGAUUUCUCAGUUGCCUAACGAUUCAGCAACUGAGAAUAGCCACGUGAAAGGCAAGUGAGUAUGAUUUCUCAAUUGCCUAAUGAUUCAGCAACUGAGAAUAGCCAUGCACCAAGAAAAAAUAAAAAAUAAAAAAAAUAAUGUGCCAAGCAUAUGGUUAUCCUCACCUCCAUCAUUUUCAUUUCAUUUCAUUAUUUCAUUCAGAAAACACAAAAUUGGCAUUUAAAUUUAGAGAAUGAAAGACUGAGACCUUUACUCAAAAGAAAACUGAUUAUAGAUGAGAUUCGAGAGACUUUUCAAUGCUCAUUUGACUGUACUGCUGGAAAAUAAAAGGGAUAAACAGGGGGGCAUUUCUGUCAUUACAAUGUGCUUGGGAAUAGUGUCUAGUUGGAUUGAGUUUUAGUAUAUAUAAAUUUCAUGUCCACUUCUGUCUUUUGGCUCUCGCUUUAAUAAGGGUUAUUAGUAUUUAGAAAUGUGUUUUGUAAUGUAUAUAUGUAUGUCUCAUUUUGCCACCUAAAUAUUAUGAAUAUGUUGCUAUUAGCCCAACCUCAAACAUUCAGUUAAAACUUCACUCGUGGUGCUCUGUUUUAAUGUAAAGAAUAGUGAUUCCUCAACAAAAAAAAAUAAAAAAAAAUAGUGAACGUACACUCAAAAUACAACAAAAUCAUAACUUAGAGGACAAUUAAUCAACAUUUGCGAUAGGUUGUGCUUUUCAGUGGAAGGCUCGUGAUCAGCUUUCGACUUGAAGACGACCAGCCAAACAAAUGGAAUAGGGAGUUGGAAUACAUUUGUACACCGGGAACAUAUCAAGCAAGAACAUUUUGCUGGAUUCUAUAUGAGGCAUGUGUUUCAGUCUCUGGAAACUGGACUCAACUAAUUGGGUCGCCAUUGCAGUAACAUAUGGGUAGCUAGCUUUGGCAUCAAGAAGCAGGGGAAGUCUUCUCUCUUGUGGUGACGAUAAUAAGUUGUCAUGAAUGUCAAUUCACAAUCUCGUCAAACAAUGAAACAAGUUUCUGGUUUUUAUUAUAGGUACUCUGUUUUAGAAGUUCUUAUUUUAGUCCACAAACGUUCAAAUUAAUCAAUAGGUCCCUUAUAUUUUGGUCUUACAUCAAUUUGGUCUUUGUUGUCGCAUUCCAACAAAACUUUGUUAAAAUUGGUCACGUAUCCUUGUUUCGUCAGGGUCACAUUUAGGUUUUACAGUUAGGUUUCACAUUUAGGUUUCGUCAAGGAGAGUACACAUCCUUGUUGAACAACAUAUGUAAUUGUUUUUUCCUUUGUUUUUCAGGGUUUCAAUUUCUUCAUCGAAACAGAGGUUUAAGGAUCACAUUGAUUGAUUGGAAAGUUUGAGAAUUCAAAUGAGGACUUUUGAAAAAUUCAAGGACCAUUCAUGACAAAAACUCUUCUCAGCACCUUUCUAUUAGGGGCCUACAUUUGUUGAAGCUGUUACCUAGGGUACCAUGUGACAUAGUGUAGUGGCAAGCAUACAGUAACCUCUCACUUUCCAUCACUUUCAUUUAAGUAAUUCCAAUAUAUUUUUCUCCAGCUAGGUAGUUUGGUGGUCCAAGCUCACAAAAAUUUAAGAGUGCUGCUAAAUGAACCCUAAAAUUAACUGAGCACACCCUACUACCAAACUAUUUAUUGAAUUACUAAUUUACCUUAAUAUAAAAUGACCAAAAAGAACAUAUUGACCAUAUGUUAAUAAUAAUACAAAAUGUAUUUUCUAUUUGUACAUACACAAACAAUGAGUUUCAUCUGCCUGUCGUAGAAUCUGAAAAUUUUAUUAUAACGUCUAACAAUCAGUUUUCUGAUCUUGCUGGGUUGAGCAUCAUCUCCAAAUGCCUUUAUUGGUGUUAUCCAAAUGCAUACUUUUGACACCUCUGUUAGCUAGGAGAAAACUUUUAUGUUUCCGUUUUAUUGCUCCUUGUCUCCAUCUCUCUCCCUCCUCUGUUAGAGCAAUCGUAAUUCAUUUAUUGGAAAACCAGAUUGCGGUUUCAAGCCAGUUAUGAGGAAGGUUGCCUUUCAAUUCUUCACUCAAGGCCAUCAACUAUUUACAAUUUAUACAUCGAUUUUGAGUUUCACAAUCAGCAUCAGAUAUCUUGGUUAGCAUUCCACCUGUUGUGUCAUGGGGUGUUACACUAGUUUCGACUGUCGACAUGACAACCAUCAUCAAUAUGUACACCAUUUAGAUAAACAAUGCUACAAAGGACCCCUUCAGAUAUUGUGAUGUUAAAACUGAAGCAAUCUUGCUCACCUUGCUUGUUCAUGUUCUGAAGUGUUGGCUUCUCGAUCGACCAGGUCCCAUCUUUAGCCACAGUUGCAGUUGAAAUUUUGGAUGAGCCAACGCAAUUUGACAAAUCAACACAAAAUUUCAUUCAUGCACAAAUCCAGUCCUUACCAAUUUCUCUCAAAAGUAUUGCAAACCCAAAAUCGAAAAAUAGAACACGAAUUCAUGUAAAAAGAGAAACCUGGCUUAGGAUUGGUUAGGGUGUUAUGUGAUAGAAUGUAUAAGGGUGUACCAAGGGUAUUUUUGGUAGUUAAAUAGGGUGUACUUAGUUAAUUUUAUAUUUUGAUUUAAAUAUUAGGGUGUACUUAGAUCAUAGGGUGUAUUUAGUUAAUUUGAGGGUUCGUUUAGCAGCACUCAAAUUUAAAACAUAUUGAGAAAUAGUAUUCCGAACAACAAAGAAAGUGUUUUCUCUAUUUUUAUUAUAAUUAUUUUAUUUUUUGUGUAUAUGUUUUAUGCUAUUUUAUUUUUCAGUUUUUAAUUAUUUAUAAGAUACAAAUCGAACAAUUUGCCCUCAUAGCACUAGGGGGAGAUUGACUUAAAAAAAUGUUUGUAUCCUGAAUUUUCUCAAAUAAAAAAACAAUGGGCAAAAUGAAUGUUAUGUACAAAUUCAAGGGGAAUAACUGAUUUUUUAUUUUAUUUUAUAAAAACAUCUGCAGAAAUAGCUUUCAUUCAACUACAAAUCAAGCAAGCUAAUAAAUAACCAAAUAAAAAAAUUAAGUUGACAAUUAAUUAUCGGUAGCGCCAUCGGAGGAGCACAAUGAUCAAAUGAAUUUAUCCAAUAAACGACAAAACAAACCAUCAAUUACGCAUUCCUAUUCCUAUGUACAGUAAACGACAAUUUCAUCUUUAGUUAUUGUACAAUUUAUAGAUGAGAUCUGAAAGACUUUUCAAUGCUCAACUGAACCCCAAGGACUAACCCACACUAUAUAUAACUAGUAAGGCACGGCCCAUACAAUAUACGUAUUCCACACAAACAAUAACCAUGACAUCUUUCACUUACGCUAAACUUUGCUUCCUCCCUUAUUGCCUUGUCAUCUUCUUGUUUGUUUCAUCACCAAAUUGGGUUGCUUUUCCUUCUGCUACUUCUACUUCUCAUACUGAGGCAGAGGCUCUUCUCAAAUGGAAAGCCAGCUUCUUUCCAAAUCAAGCCCUCAAUAACCUCACCUGGUACGACCUUCCCACUCAUAAUAUUAAUGCCACCAAUUCUUCCAGCACCAAUCCAAAACCAAGAACAAGCCCAUGCACUUGGACUGGUGUUUCAUGCAACUCAGCUAGAAGUGUCAACAAGAUAGAGCUUGUCAAUAGGGGUUUACAAGGUACGCUACAUGAGUUUUCAUUCUUGUCCUUCCCUAAUCUUGAAUAUCUUAACCUCAGUCUGAACAAACUCUUUGAUGCCAUCCCACCUCAAAUCAGUAACCUCUCCAAACUCCACUAUCUUGAUCUCUCUUGGAAUAACUUUUCUGGGAGAAUUCCACCAGAAAUUGGUCUCUUAAGAAAUCUUACCUAUCUUUAUCUCUAUGAUAAUAAACUUUCUGGUUUGAUUCCCAAGGAGAUAGGGAACUUGAAAUCUCUUGUAUAUCUAGCAUUGUCCUCCAACAAUUUAAGUGGUCUCAUCCCUCCAAAUAUUGGUAACUUAAUAAACCUAAACACUUUGUACUUGUAUUCCAAUCAACUUUCUGGUUUGAUUCCCAAGGAGAUAGGGAACUUGAAAUCUCUUGUAAAUCUAUCGUUGUCCUACAAUAAUUUAACUGGUGUCAUCCCUCCAAAUAUUGGUAACUUAAUAAACCUAAACACUUUGCACUUGUAUUCCAAUCAACUUUCUGGUUUGAUUCCCAAGGAGAUAGGGAACUUGAAAUCUCUAAACACUUUGCACUUGUAUUCCAAUCAACUUUCUGGUUUGAUUCCCAAGGAGAUAGGGAACUUGAAAUCUCUUAUAAAACUAAAUUUGGGUAAGAAUCAACUCAAUGGUUCACUUCCCGUUUCAAUCGGUGAGUUGCGCAACUUGGAAAACUUCCACCUAGCUGAUAACCAACUUUCCGGCCCUAUACCCCAAGAGAUAGAGAAUCUCAAGAAGUUGACUAAUUUGCAGUUGAGUAUAAACCAAUUUUCUGGUUAUUUGCCCCACAAUAUUUGCCAAGGCGGAAAACUCACAAACUUUACAGUAUUCAGAAACCAUUUGACUGGUCCAAUCCCCAAAAGCUUGAAAAACUGCACGAGCUUAUUCAGACUUCGUCUUGACCAGAACCAAUUCACAGGCAAUAUAUCUGAAGACUUUGGCAUUUAUCCGAAUCUUCAUUUUAUGGAUGUAAGCCAUAACAACUUUUAUGGAGAGAUCUCACACAAUUGGCAAAAAAGCCCAAAGUUGACAACCCUACGACUUGCGGGAAACAACCUAACUGGGAGCAUCCCACCUGAGAUAGGCAAUGCAACCCAAAUUCAAGAGCUAGAUCUCUCUUCAAAUCAUUUAGUUGGGUUGAUUCCAAUGGGAUUUGGAAGACUGACUUUUUUGGAGAGGUUGAUGUUGAAUGGAAAUCAACUUUUAGGUCGUAUACCCUCUGAAUUCGGAUCAUUGACUGAUCUUGAUUAUCUUGACUUGUCAACAAAUAAAUUCAGUGACUCAAUUCCCAGCAUUCUAGGUGACUUGCUCAAAUUAUACCAUCUGAAUUUGAGCAACAACAAGUUAUCUCAAGCAAUUCCACUUCAGUUGGGGAAGUUAGUUCAAUUGAACGAGCUGGAUUUAAGUCAUAACUCUCUUGAAGGUAGCAUACCAUCAGCAAUAAGCAAUAUGGAGAGUUUGAUGAUUCUCAAUCUUUCCCACAACAAUCUUUCGGGUUCCAUACCAUCAAGUUUCGAAGAGAUGCAUGGCUUGUCGUACGUUGACAUAUCCUACAAUCACUUGGAAGGUCCCCUUCCCAACAUCAAGGCAUUUCAAGAAGCUCCGCCAGAAAGAUUGGAAGGGAACAAAGGAUUGUGUGGCAAAGUUGGAGCUCUGCUACCACCCUGCAAUGCACAUGGCUCAAAAAAGGACCACAAGGUCAUAUCUGUUCUAGCAGUAUUUGUACUUCUAUCUGCUCUCUUUAUAAUUGUCUUUGUAAUAAUGCAAAGAAGGAAGAAGCAUCAAGAUACUAAACAAAACCACAUGCAUGGAGAAAUUUCCUUUUCGGUUUUAAAUUUUGAUGGAAAAUCAAUGUAUGAGGAAAUCAUAAGGGCAACAGAAGAUUUUGAUUCCAUAUACUGCAUUGGGAAUGGAGGACAUGGAAGCGUCUACAAGGUGAAUUUUUCAUCUGGAGAUGUAGUGGCCGUGAAGAAACUCCAUAUGCUAUGGGAUGGCGAGACAAAAUUUCAGAAGGAGUUCUUGAAUGAAGUAAGGGCACUCAGUGAGAUAAGACAUCGGAAUAUUGUGAAGCUCUAUGGUUUCUGCGCACAUAAACGACACUCGUUUUUGGUGUAUGAGUAUCUAGAAAGAGGUAGCUUGGCCGCAAUGUUGAGCAAAAAUGAAGAAGCUAAAGAGUUGGGGUGGAGUAAAAGAGUGAAUAUUGUUAAAGGCUUAGCUCAUGCCUUGUCUUACAUGCACCACGAUUGCCUGCCACCGAUUGUACAUCGUGACAUCUCAAGCAAGAACAUUUUGUUGGAUUCUGAAUAUGAGGCGUGUGUUUCAGACUUUGGCACAGCUAAGUUUUUAAAUCCAGACUCAACUAAUUGGACUGCCGCUGCAGGCACGUAUGGCUACAUGGCACCAGGUAAUAUUGCGAUUCCAUGUUCUCUGUAUUUAGCCCUUUUUUUUUUGUUUUAGACCAAUGCUUCAUUUUCAUAAUUACGAGCAGUUAACAUAAACACAUUUUCACUUCUUUGAUUUGGAAAAUAUGACUAUAAACUAAUAAUUCGAUUUAUGCAUGAUACAGUUUUGUUAAAAUUCCACUGAAUAGUUAUGUUUAUAAACUAAUAAUGCCACUUCUCUGCGGUUUUCUCUAAGCAGAGCUUGCUUACACAAUGGAAGUGAAUGAGAACUGCGAUGUUUAUAGCUUUGGUGUGGUCACAUUGGAAAUAAUUAUGGGAAAGCAUCCUGGAGAUCUUUUCUCGUCUUUCUUAUCAAUCUCUUCAUCCUCCUCCUCCUCAUCAUCAUCUGCAUUAGCAGCCCAUCAAAUACCAAUUGUGGAUGUUUUGGACCAACGCAUUUCCCCUCCGACGCAUCAAGUUGCAAAUGAAGUGGUCUCUCUUGUGAAGAUAGCAUUUUCAUGCUUGAAUUCCAGCCCGAAAUCUCGUCCAAUAAUGAAACAAGUUUCUCAUUUCCUCUCAAAUUCGAUGCUGCAUUUGUCGAAGCCGAUACAUAUGAUGACAUGUGGUGAAUUGCUUGCUCUUGAUCCUUUGGUUACCUGAUCAAAACGUGCUUCUUUGCUACUCACAUUUCACUUUCUCUGUGUCUUCUUUUCAGAAGAAAGAUUCUCCAUAGAUGUUUCCUUCUUGUAAUUUAUUUCAUGCACAUGUGUGCUAUGGUAUGACUUUAUCCAGGAUGCUUUACAGUUUUUUUAUCUUUAAAAUACUUAAUGGAAAAUUUUCCUUACAGUUUGUUUAUCCUUGUGAGGAAAAAAAAAUUAAAUAAAACAAGCGUUUUGUUGAGUAAUUUUGUAUACUCUGUGUAAACCGUCCCAAAAUCAAUAAUAAACAAUUAAACUGUGAAAAUUAAAGGGAGUUUCACUAUUAUACUCAAAAUAGGGGCUGAAAUUAUUUUUUUUUAAACCCACAUGGAAUGUACUUUAGAAAUACAUCCAAAACCAAUUUACUACAUAAGAAAUGUGUGUUGAAGUUCCUAUAAAUUACAUGAUUGCCACUGAUUAACUUUAAAAAAAGCCAACACAAAAAACUCAACAACAAAAAAACCCAAAACAAGCCUAGCCCUUUUUUUUUUUUUAUAAAAAAACCCAAAUAAUUUAUUUAUAAAAAAAAAAAAUUUGUGAAAAACCAACCAGAAACUCUUCAUAAAAAUACAUUAUUAAUACUAUAUCAUAGAACUAUCUUGUUAAUACUACUACAUCAUAGAACUAUCUUGUUAAUAUUACUAUCUCAAUUAGGGUGACAGCCAACCAUAGGCAUAGCUUAUAAUAAAGGCAUUGAUAAACGCAGCAGCAGGGUGGCAGAAAUUAGUGUGAGUUGUGAAUAAUGCAGUAAGUGGGGAAGUGCAAGCCAUGAAGGACAGGCCAAUGAUGAUGUCUGAUAAUUAUUCAAUACUUAUAGUUGUGAAUUGUCAUAUUGGGAGGUAGCUGUACUCACUUCACUCUACAAUCGUAUUGUCAUUGUGAUAUCUGUUGCAUUCAAUCAUUUGGCUUCCCCAAUAUCAAAUAUCCAAAAAUUAUGAAUACGAAUACGGCCCUUCUCGUAAAUUGAACCAUGUCACCUGGAUAUAUAUAUAUAUAUAUAUAUAUAUAUAUAUGCACCCCCACCACCUGGAUAUUUUUCGAGUAAGCGUUAACCUUCUGAAUGCAUGUGAUGUUACCCUAGGACGCUGGCUGGCUCUUUACACACGCUCUGAUCCACCGCAAUACGUGAACAGAGAAGAAGAAGCCACUAUUUGAUGAGAAGAAGCCUGUAAUCUCAAAAGAUCCAAACCCUAAUUAAAUAAGGUCAUCUCUAGUUGUUGUUGACCUUGAGCUGUCAUCCUUUACGUUAGUGUUUGGGUUUUUGAAAAUGAAGGUUGGGAAAUGGGUAUGAGAAUCUAUUCUCGUAUUUGGUGUGUGGGCAGUUUACAGUUUUGAAAUGCGUCACCUUUUACAUGAGAAUGAAAAGCUAUAAAGGAAAAAAGAAAAAAAAAAGAGAAAGAAUAUAUUUUGAUUCCUAUUACUAUAUAGGAACCCAAACUUUAGAAUAUAAUUAAAAUUAUGUAGUUCUUGAAUACCGUUCUUAGCAUUUUUAAACAUUGAAAAGAGAAUUAUUUAUUCUCAUAAAAACUUCCAUACACCGAAAUCAUGUAUCUGCUAGGUACAAUACACAUCGCAUGAGGCGCAACUGAUACAUUAACCUGUUACAAAUAAGUUCUUUAUCUUAAAAUGCUUAAAAUAUGAAUAUAAGAAUGAGAUUUUCAAAAAAGAAAAAAAAAAUCGUGAAACAAUGUAUUGUCCAAAAAUAGCUGAUUUUUCAGCCAAAUAGAAAACUGAUGCAUUCUAGCCAAUUUGAUUGUGCUAAGAACAAUUGCGAUUUGUCCUUCCCAAAUAAUAGACAAGCCAAAAAUAAAAUUUGCAAGGGUAACCGUAUCAGGUCAUUCCUAUUCAGUUUGAAAGUAUUGAUGUAUAAUAUAUAGUGAAAAGGGUAAUGCUAUGCUAGCAUGAUAUAUGAGGCUCCAUAAAAGAAUCAAAUAUUGAUUAGCAACACACAUCUGGUUUUAUGGACAAUGGAAAACUUAGCCAAUCCCAAUCCAACAGCAAUGAAACAUGAAUGAAAAAAUCCUCAUCACAAUCUCCAGACAAGAAUUGCUAAUAGACCAAUUUGAAGAAAUGAAAAAAAUAAAAUAAAAUAUCCUCCACAGUGCUGCAAAACCUAUACAAAAGAAAUCUUAAUCCUCAUGAAUAGCCCACAUGGAAUUUGAAGGGACACAACUAACAAAUCUAACAACAUAGAAGAACAAGAAGAAGCAUGGACAGAUGAGCCACAUGACCUACAAAAUAAAAAUUUCAAGUGAUGGAGUGGAAUUUGACAUAAAUUUUGUGUGGCAUUCUCCAUCAAAUAAAUUUUAACUGUGAACCUGCCUGAUGGCCGGCACUGGCACUCCAAAGAUGCAAGGUGAUCCUGUUCCCACACUGUUGAAAUUGAAGCACUUCCCUGCUGCUGAUCCGCCAAUAUUCCCACUUAUUGAUUGAUCUUCAACCACAUGAUCAUCAUCAUCAACAUAACCAUCAUCAUCAUCACCAUCAAUAUCCUCAUCAUAUUCUUCAUCAUCAUGAUCACCAUGAUCAUCACAUUGUGGGUCCUGAUCAUCAUACUCAUUCUCAUUCCCAUUUCCAUUCCCAUCUUUUUUUCCCUCAUCAUAUUCUUCAUCAUCAUGAUCACCAUGAUCAUCACAUUGUGGGUCCUGAUCAUCAUACUCAUUAUCAUUCCCAUUCCCAUCUUUAUUUCCCUCAUCACAAGCAACUGGGGAAAUCAAAACUUCAUCAUCCAAAGGCACAAGCUGCAAAGUGAGCCUGCCAUUAGACCUAUGAGCCCUGAAGUACUCAUGGUGCCUAACCUUCUCCUCAGUCAAAAUCAACCUCCCAUCACUUGUAUAAUGCCUUUUCAACACCCAAGGCAUAUGAGAAGGCAAGUUCUCAGUGCGAGCCAACAAAGGUAUAGGAGGAGGAAACUCCUUGUUCCUCAUUGCCCAUUUUUGCUCCCUCCUACCCAUCAGCCUCUGCCUGAAAUUACCACUUUGACCCUCCUCCUCCUCCUCCUCAUCAUCAUUUGGCACCACCUGGUCCUUCUCACAGUCUUUCUGCACGUCCACAGAGCUCUCCAUUCCAAUAUAGUCUCCAGACAAGAGAGAUGAAGAAGUUGGAGAGAGAAGAUCAGACAGCAUCAUGGAGCAGUUUUUGUGAGGGGUGUUUUUUUUGAGGUCAAGAUUUAAGGCCUUGAGACCAAAUUCUAGAGGGGCUUGAGCUUGGCAUGGGUGAGGCUCACUGGGGAGAUGCAUAGAGUUAUAUAGCUGCAUAGUGUGACAUCGGCCUCUCUGUAGCUUGGCGUGUUUCAAUGAAGGUUUGGAAAUCACAGAGUUGAGUGUGUUGGGUGGAGAGAAAAGAUAAGCAGAGCCAGCUAAGAUUUGUGAUGUCAAUAUAUUUGGGUUAAUUCAGGAGGCAGAAACCUGGUAAAUAUUGCUGUACAGCACUGCGACUUGCCUGGAAAAUUUCAAAACAAGAAACCAAAUCAAAAUGUGUUAGGCCUAUGAAUAUUUGGUAUAUAUUGCUAAUAGCUCAAAUAAGAAGGAAAAAAAAAAAACAAAAAACUAGAAUGAUGACAACAAAUUAAUUGGCUGUGAAAAUAACGUUGACUGUGAAUUUGAAUUACACAUUUAAAUUUCGCUAUUAUAGACUAUAAUUCACAUUAUUUAAACAUUUCGUAUAUGACAUAUCAGAUUGUGAAUUUAAACACCACACAUUAAAAUUUAUAUCAAUAAUCUAGGAUCUCACAAUAUAAACCCUGGCUUUAGACUUACACGUGGGUUGGUAGAUGGCACCACGUGUUGUUUUCAUGUCAUGCAUGUAUAUAUGUGUAUAUGUAUCCAUACUGUUGCUUGUAUGGGGACCCCACAAAAAUUGAAUGUGUACACCGUUGAGAUGAUGGGAUUACUUAAUAUCAUCAUGAUCUACGGUCCAAAUGCAUUACUGUUUGCUAUCCGACGAGAAGAAUAUGAUAAUAUGUAAAUAAAAACAAGAAGCAAAAAUUGGAGAAGUACAAAAGGAAACGUAUCAGCAUGCAAACCUGGAAACCAGAAUUUCAACCCUAUUUUUCAGUUUCUUAAUUUCAUCCUUUUGCUUCAAUCAUAAUUUGCAUAUAACUAAACAAAUAAAUUAAUUAAAUAUCAUGUUAGUGUCAGACCCCGAAUUUAAGACGGAGAUGAAGACUCAUGGGAGUCAUGAAUCUUGACAAUUGUGUGUGUGUGUGUGUGUUUUUUUUCCUUUUGGUAGUGCUAAGCUGAAAGAGAUGGUAAUAAUAUUAAAAAUAAUGUGAACUUUAAGCAUUGAGUUGUGAUCUUUAUUAAAAGAGAAAAAGGAGAACCUAAAUCCACAAAAAAAAACACUGAAUUCAGGCAAUGUGAGAGAAGUAAGAAUAACCCAGAAAGGAAAUUAAUAUUAAAAAGAUUACAAUUACAAAGAAAUGAAUUAGUGAGCAACUAUUCAAUGAUUUGACAAACAAAGCGCAACCCACUAAAGAAUAAAGCAUAAAACCUCUAAAAGAAAAGAGCAAAAGUUUUCAGAAUUAGGAUAGGUCGAGAGUUCGAUCUCAUAUAAUUUAUCGAAAAUAUCACAAAUCGUUAAUUUCAUUCUAUGAAACAAACACUUGAAACUUACAGGAGGAAAAUGAAUAAAGGUGGAGAUGAUGAUCAGUGGGUUUGUUGUCACAAAAGGGAUGAUAUACAAGGUGGAGAAGAAGAGGGUACGAAGCACACUACUCAUAAUGAUUAAGGGAGAGAGAUAGAGGCACCGUCACCAAAAGAGAUCGUAUUGUUUUUUGGCUUAAUACAAAGACUUCAUAAAAUUUGGGAGCUAAAGUGUCGUCGUUUUUGGGUUUUAUUUGAUUUUAUUAUUAUUUAUUUUACACGUAGUUUAAGUGUUUGUUUGCUAGUUUGUUUGAGUUUGUUUGUUAGCCUAGUCUAUCUUCUCUGUCUAAUUAGAAGGAUGUGUGAUGUGUUCUAAAAAUAGGCAGCGUUUUGGGGAUUACCGUGAUAACCGAAUACGACUCGGCAUAUUAUUAUUUUUCCCACUCAAAUUUAGAUGGUUUUUUUUUAUAAAAAAAAUGAUAUAAUUCUUUUAUUUUUGUCAACUUUAGAAGUUAUUAUCUGCACAAUUUUUUUUAAGCGAUAAUUUACUUCAAUCUAAUUUAAAUUACAUGGAGGGAAAUUCGAAUUCUGCUGCAUAUAAAGAGCAUAUCUGCUCUAACCAACUUGACUAGCCCAUGUAUGCCUUCACAUACAUUUCAAAAGUUUCCAUAACUUAAAAUGGUUCUUAAAACUCAUCUGAUAAAUGUCACAUUUGGGCACACAUAACAUGACAUGACACAUAAAAGAUUAUUACGAUGACCGCAAUAUUCUGUUAAUUUAGACUUUUUUUAAAUUUUAAAUGUCAAGGAUUAAAUUACAUUUUUUUAAUAGUAAAGGAUUAAAUUUCUAGUUAAAUAAUACCGAUUGGCAUUUAUGAUGUUUGGAUUAAAGUUCUUGUAUAUGUUGCUUGGCACGCUACGAAUUUUGCAAGCUGUUUAUAGCUGACGUCUUUUUGAGAUGUUCGAUAAAAUUGAAACAGUAUCGAGGAGAUUGGCAUGCAUGGUUGUUAUUCUCCUUAGAUAACGAUAUAAAAUUAAAUCCAGAACCAAAAAAAAAAAAAAACGAAAGCCAGAAUUCAUUUUUUCUAAAAAUAAUUAAAAUAAUUUAUACAUGCAUGAAUUUAUCCAAUGGUUUUAAUUGUCAUUUACAAUUUUAUAAUGUCUUCUUUGGUCUAUAAUGUGUUAUCUUGGACGAGAAUGAAAUUUAAUGUGGAAUUAUGGUUCCGGUAGUGAUCAAAGUUGGUUUCGGUCAUUACAAAGAUGAAGGGUCAGGAUUCAUUGCCAUAAAGCGAGUCAACUCAUGCAAAACAACAAACCCACAAAGCUGACCAAGACUCGUAUGCAAAAUCCAAAAUUGCACCGUCGGAUCAAGAGGCCUAAACCAACCUGGGUAGGUAAGUUACAGGCUUAGAGUUAAGCCGAAAUGGGCUCAUGAGCACUGCCUUUUGAGGGCAAAAGUUAGCCUGUCAAGUGCAGGGCAGCCAUUGUUGCAACAAGUCAGGGAGAGUUAAGCCCAAAUAGGCCCAUGGGCACUGUGGCUUUUGAGGGCAAAAGUUCGCCUGUCAGGUGCAGGGCAGCCAUUCUUCCAACAAGUCGGGGGAGCAUGUUAAGGAGUUCAAUCCAGCCAUGCGAUAGUAACAUUUUCAUUGAUCAGCUGGCUAUUAAAGGCCACCUCAUUAUAACCAUAUAGAAUCACACACAAAAUCCUACCGUAAAUCCACAUCCAUUGUAUGGGUUUUACGUUUCAUACUGAAUAUGUGAUGACAAUUUAAUGGAGGAGAUGAUUGAGCAAUAUGCAUCCAUUUCAGUUAAAGCUUUGGAGACGAUGAAUAAUAAUACGAGAAAACCAAAGGAAACCCCCGAAAUGUGAAUUCUCUAGUACAACAAAAUUAACUUUAAAUGAUUCUCAAAACACCAGGCAUCAUGUCACUACAAAGAUAACAAAGACAGCAUCGCCAUAGAAUAAAAGGAGUACUUCAUUGGUGGUGAAAAGAGAGGAAAAUCUUUGAAAAACAAUACUAC